CUCUUUCAUUUCAAAGUUAAAUAAGCUUAAAGAAGAAUGAAAGGCUUUUGGAACUUAACGAGUACCUUUUCUCUUACUCUUUCUAUACUUUUCUUAUUCGGCUACAGUUAUGAGGACGUGUCUGCGGUUCCAACUACGCACUUGUGUCGUCCGGAACAAAGGGAAGCACUUCUCCAGUUCAAGAACGAGUUUGAGGUUCUAAACUCUUCCUCUUCUUAUUAUAGAUGUAUUUAUAGUGGUAUUAAACCUCAUGGGAAGACAGAGUCAUGGAUGAAUAGCAGCGACUGCUGUAACUGGGAGGGUAUCACGUGCGAUGCCAAAUCCGGUGAAGUGAUUGGGAUAGACCUUAGUUGCAGCUACCUAGGUGGCCGAUUUCAUUCCAAUAGCAGUCUUCAAAGCCUUCAUUCUCUAAACACUCUAAACCUUUCAAGAAAUGGUAUUAGUGGUCAAAUCAUGUCUUCUAUCAGAAACCUUUCUCAUCUCACCUCUCUCGACCUUUCAGAAAAUGUUUUCAGCGGUUUCAUUCUUUCUUCGAUAGUAGACCUUUCUUAUCUCACCUUUCUCGAUCUUUCAUUUAAUAGCUGUUCUGGUCAGAUUCCAUCUUCGAUUGGAAAUCUUUCUCAUCUCACCUAUCUUAACCUUAAUUUGAAUCAAAUUUCGGGUAAGAUUCCAUCUUCGAUUGGAAAUCUUUAUAACCUCGCUUAUCUUGGCCUUUGUGGGAACAAUAUUGUUGGAGAAAUCCCAUCUUCUUUUGGAAAUCUAAACCAGUUGACAAGAUUAGAUGUUAGUCUCAAUAGGCUCAAUGGAAGCUUUCCCAUUGCACUACUGAAUUUGACAAAGUUGUCAUCUUUAGAACUCUAUGAGAAUCACUUCACAGGAACAAUUCCUCAUAACAUCACUUCACUAUCCAAAUUGACGUAUUUUGAUGCAAGUAACAAUGCUUUCACUGGGACCCUGCCGUCUUCCCUCUUCACCAUUCCUUCUAUUGAAUAUGUUAGAUUGUCUGAUAACCGAUUCGAUGGUAUUCUUGAGUUUGGGAAUAUAUCUUCACCACCUAAGCUGCAAAGGUUAAACGUUAACAGAAACAACUUGAGAGGGCCAAUCCCGGCCACGAUAUCCAAGUUUACCAACCUUGUCGAACUUCACCUUUCCAAUUACAAGACACAAGGUCCAGUUGACUUUAGUAUCUUCUCACAUCUCAAGUGGCUCAAACUUCUUUUUAUAUCCGAUUUGAACACGACCACUACGAUUGACUUGAAUGAUUUCUUGUCGUAUUUUAAGAGGCUCGGUCUGUUGGAUCUCUCAGGCAAUCAUGUUUCAGUCACAAACAAGAGUACAAUUUCAGAUUCUUCUUCUUUGUAUCAGUUGUACUUGUCAGGCUGCGGUAUGACCGAGUUUCCGGAGUUUGUAAGAAACCAACAUAUGUUGUUUCUAGACAUUUCCAACAAUAAAAUCAAAGGUCAAGUGCCUGGCUGGUUAUGGACGCUACCAAAUCUUACUUACCUGAAUCUUUCCAACAAUACUUUCACUGACUUUGAAAAACCAACAACAGUUUUAGUUUCAAGGCUAUCUAGCCUAAACUUGCUUGCCUCCAACAACAACUUUACCGGAAAGAUUCCCUCUUUCAUAUGUGAUUUGAGCUCUGUAUACAUUCUUGAUUUAUCAAACAACAACUUCAGUGGAUUAAUCCCUCGUUGUCUGGGUAAUUUCAAGCGUACUCUUGAAGUUCUAAACCUUCGUCAGAAUCGUCUCCAUGGAGGUCUUCCGGAGAAUAUAUUUGAAAGCUUAAUAACGCUUGACGUCGGUCAUAACCAACUGACUGGAAAGCUUCCAAGAACUUUGAUUCAUUCCCCUUAUCUUGAAGUUCUGAACGUGGAAAGCAACUUUAUCAAUGAUACGUUUCCGUUCUGGUUGAGUUCUCUACCACAACUAAAAAUUCUUGUGUUACGCUCCAAUGCUUUCCAUGGACCGGUACAUCAUACUUCGUUCCCUAAAUUGCAAAUCAUCGACAUAUCGCACAAUCACUUCAAUGGAGCUUUCCCUUCACACUACUUUGUGAAGUGGAGUGCUAUGUCAUCACUUGGGACAAUUUAUGAAAAGCCGGAUUUAAUGUACAUGGGAGAUUCAUAUUACCAUGAUUCAGUGGUGUUGAUGAAUAAAGGUCUAGAGAUGAAGCUAGAACGUAUCCUAAAGAUCUACACAGCACUCGACUUUUCAGGGAACAAAUUUGAAGGAGAGAUCGCAAGGUCCAUCGGUCUAUUAAAAGAGCUUCAUGUGCUCAACUUGUCUAACAAUGCUUUCACUGGCCACAUCCCUUCAUCUAUGGGAAACCUGACGGCUCUUGAGUCACUAGACGUUUCCCAAAACCAGCUUUCAGGAGAAAUUCCGCUAGAGCUAGGGGAACUCUCAUUCCUUUCCUACAUGAACUUCUCUCAUAACAAGCUCACAGGUCUAGUACCAGGCGGUACUCAGUUUCGAAGGGUGAAUUGCACUUCCUUUGAGGAUAAUCCGGGACUUUUUGGCCCUUCUCUUGACGAAGUUUGCAGAGAUAUCCACAUGCCAACACCGCAUGAAACACCAGAAUCAGAGGAAGAAGAAGAGGAAGAGGUGUUGAGUUGGAUAGCAGCUGUAAUAGGAGUCAUACCUGGUAUUGCCUUUGGAUGGGUGAUUGGAUACAUACUUUUUUCCUACAAACCAGAGUGGUUCAUCAACCCUUUUGUCCGAAACAAACGCAGACGCAACCGCACCACAACUCAUUAAAAAGGUAAUUUUCAAGAGUUUUAAAUCAACUUGUUAGCAAACACUGGAAGAAACAAAAAUAUUAUAGUCAAAUCACCUGAAUAAGCCUUCUUCUUCUUUUUUUGUACAGAUCUUUUAUAGCCUGCCUGAGGAAUCUGAAAGAAGAAAUACAAAGGAACCACUAUGUCUAUCCGUAUCAAAUAAGAUUUGGGGUAUCGUUUCCCUGUUCUUUUUGCUCUUUCAUUUUUGAUAUCCAAGAAAAAUUAUAAAGAAGAAUGAAAGGUUUUUGGAACUUAACGAGUACCAUUUCUCUUCCUAUACUUUUCUUAUUCGGCUACAAUUAUGAGGACGUGUAUGCAGUUCCUACCACGUGCUUAUGUCAUCCGGAACAAAGGGAUGCACUUCUUCAGUUGAAGAACGAGUUUGAGGUUCUAAACUCUUCCUUUGAUUAUGAUUAUUGCAUUAUUUAUGAUAUUAAACCUCAUCGGAAGACAGAGUCAUGGGUGAAUAACAACGACUGCUGUACUUGGGAUGGUAUCAUGUGCAACCCCAAGUCUGGUGACGUGAUCGAGCUAGACCUUGGUUGCAGCAACCUACGUGGCUGGUUUCGUUCCAAUAGCAGUCUGCAAAACCUUCAUUCUCUAACCACCCUAAACCUUUCACUUAAUGAUUUUAGUGGUCAAAUCAUGUCUUCAAUUGGAAACCUUUCUCAUCUCACCUCUCUCGACAUUUCUUGGAAUAAUUUCAGCGGGUUCAUUCCUUCUUCGAUUGGAAGCCUGUCUCAUCUCACCUAUCUUGACAUUUCUUCUAAUCAAAUUUCAGGUCGAUGUACAUGGGAUAUUACUUUUACCAUGAUUCAGUGGUUUUGAUGAAUAAAGGUUUAGAGAUAGAGCACUCGACUAUUCAGGAAACAAAUUUGAAGGAGACAUCCCAAGGUCCAUUGGUCUAUUGAAAGAGCUCCAUGUGCUCAACUUGCCCAACAAUGCUUUCACUGGCCACAUCCCUUCAUCUCUAGGAAACCUGACGGCUCUUGAGUCCCUUAACGUUUCCCAAAACCAGCUUUCAGGAGAAAUUCCGCAAGCGCUAGGGAGCCUCUCAUUCCUUUCGUACAUGAACUUCUCUCAUAACCAGCUUACUGGUCUAGUACCAGGAGGCACUCAGUUUCGAAGGCUCAACUGCACUUCCUUUGAGGAUAACAAGGGACUUUCUGGCCCUUCUCUUGACGAAAUUUGCAGAGAUAUUCACACGCCAACACCGCAUGAACUGUUGGAGUCAGAGGAAGAAGAAGAAGAAGAAGAGGAAGAGGUGUUGAGUUGGAUAGCAGCUGUCAUAGGAGUCAUACCUGGUAUGGCCUUUGGAUGGGUGAUUGGAUACAUACUUUUUUCUCGCAAACCAGAGUGGUUUAUGAACCCUUUUGUCCGAAACAAACGCAGACGCAGCAGCACCACAACUCAUUAAAAAGGUAAUCUUCCAGAGUUUUAAAUCAACUUGUUAGCAAACAUUGGAAGAAACAAAAUUAUUAUAGUCAAAUCACCUGAAUAAACCUUCUUCUUCUUAUUUUGUACAGGUCUUUUAUAUCCUACCCGAGUGGUUCAUGAACCCUUUUGCCCGAAACAAGCGCAGAAUCAGCAGCACCACAACUCAUUAAAAAGGUAAUUUUCCAGAGUUUUAAAUCAACUUGUUAGAAAACACUGGAAGAAACAAAAAUAUUAUAAUGAAAUCACCUGAGUUAACGUUUUCUUCUUUUUGGUACAGGUAUUUUAUACGCUACCUGAGGAAUCUGGAAGAAGAAAUCCAAAGGAACCACUAUGUCUAUCCGUAUCAAAUAAGAUUUGGGAUAUCGUUUCUAGUUUAGCUUGGUGUUUUCUCAUUACUCUAUUUUUACUUUUUUUAGCAAACUUCUUUGUUCCUCUGGUACUGUUUCCGUUUUAGCUUGGUGUGUUUUUUCUCUAUCUCUAUUUUUUUUUACGUUUUAUUAAACUUCUUUGUUUCUCUGUAAUUGAACAACUAUGUUUCUUACGCUGAAAAUUACAAGCACAGUCAAAGAUGUGUCGUCUUUUCCCCUCUUGUGCAUCUAAACGCCAACUGUUUAGACGUGAGAUGACCAUUGAACAGAUGAUCCAGAUCAACGCUAUAAACAACACAUGGCUUUAGAAAAGGAUAUACAUAUUAUAUAUGGAUAUUUCGAUUGUUCAUAUCAAUGAGACGCAUAAAUUCAUAGAAACUAUAGACUUUGCAAAUAUAAUUAUCAAGAUUCCAUUUUGUGUAUAUACAAAGUUCAAAAGGUUUAAAGCUUAUGAUUUUCGAAUGUGACAAUACAAAAUAAAAAAGUUUGCAUUUUUUUUUUUUUUUUUUUUUUUUUUGAUAAUUCUGGUAUCUGGACAGUUACAUUCUUAACUAUCCCCGUAAGGGGUCUAGCGCCCCAACGGAAGAGAUGUUAAAUCCGCUGUGGCCGGGGAUGGAAGUGUUUGCAUUGAUUUAUCUUGUGAUUGGUAAUAUUCUCAUUGAUAAUGAAUGAUGAAUAGAAGAGGAAGAGAAAUGGCUAGUAAAGGGGUCUUGUUUUCUCCCUGUCCACACUCUCUUGUUUCUAAUUCAACCUUUGAUUGUUUGAUUAAAUAUGUAUAAUCUAAAUUAACAAUAACCAAAUAUAUAUAUACUCAACUAAAAUUUGGGUUAACGAUCAUUGUCCAUUUUAUAAGAAAAUUCCUCUUGGAUCUUUCGUUUUAUAUUUUUGUUGACUGACUUUUUUACCGAAUCCAAGUCUUGCUUCUCUUUGUUUUGAAGUCCACGAUCUCAAAAAGGAAACAGCCAACUGAUUGGUCACUUUCACAAUCCAUCUGGUACGUUAUCCUUUGAUUUUUCAACAUCUUUACUAUUAAACCAGGAUCUUAUUGUCCUUUUUACCUUACUCUAUCCUUUCUUUACUAACAUUGCAUGUUUCAUUAACGGUAAUCAAGUAAUAUUAAUAACACAUAUAUAUAUUGGACCAUUUUUUCAGGAUCCAGCCCACUGUCCACAUCAGAUCUCUUUUGGGUCAUUUGGGUCGAUUAAGAAAUCAGAUCCAAUUCUCACAUUUUUUUUUCCUUUCGGACAUUGAGUCCAAGUUCAAAUAAUUUUUUUUCAACUAUAAUUUUCUUAAUAUAAUUUAAGCAUUCAUAAAAAAAAUUGAUUUUUUCGUUGAAAAGUAUAAAUCUUUAUUAAAAGUAUAUAAUUAUUUGUAUUAAAAAUAUUAACCACAUAAUAAAAUUAACUUAUCAGAGUUAUACCAACUUAAUUCAUUAAAAAUAAAGUUUAAUUUUUUAAACAUAAAUAGUCAUUUAAAAUGAAACACGAUAAGUAAAGAUAAAAAGUUUAAGUCUUUUAUAAAAUAAAAUACAAAUAUAUGAAAUAUGACAUUUACUAAAUAUUUUGACCAUUGAAAAAAAAAGAAAAUAAACCCGCGCUUUGAAAGCGCGGGUCAAAAUCUAUUAUUAUUUUAUCUUAUUAAAACUGAAGUACAAAAUUGUAGUGUUUGGAGACUUGAAUAUGACUAUUCAAAAAUUUUGGAGUGUUUGGAAACAUGGAUUGUAGUCUUUUAAAAAAAAAAUUACUUUUGUCUGGAAACAAUGAUAGGAGUAUUAAGCAAAAAAGUAAUGGGUUUAUGUUAUUAAGAAAAAUUGAAAGUUCAUCAUAUUAUAAGAAACUAUAUAUCUGGACCAGUUUUAAAAUAUACGAAAAUUGGUCAAUCUAAUUGCAUAAAACUUUUUUUUCUAAACUAUCCAUAUAACAAAAUUUAAACUUUAUAUACAUAUUUCAAAUCAAAAUAACAAUUCAAAGUUGAUUUAUAUCAAAAACUGAUUGAAAAAUAUACGUAUAUUCAAAAAUGGAUUUUUACUAAACUGUUUUUCAAUAACCAUUAUAAAAAAAUGCUGUCAAAAUAUAUAAGAAAAAUAUAAUACAAAGCUCAAUUUGAAAUACCAACUCAAAUUAUGGUUUUUAUAUUUCAUAUUAAGUUUGUAAAAUAUAAUAUAUGUAAUUAUUUAUAUGAUGGUACGUAUAAAAUACUAUUAAUUAUAUGAUUACUUAUAUGAUGGUACGUAUAAAAUACGAUUAAUUAUAUGAUGACAAUAUACGAUAUAUAAUAAUGACUAAGGAUGGACUUUCGGGUAUCCAUACGGGUUUGGUUCUGAUCGGUUUGCGUUUCGGGUUUUCGGGGUCAAAGAUUUCAGCCCUAUUAGGAUGUUUCUAAAUUUUGGUUUGAGUUUGAUUCAGAUCUUUGAGGGUUUGGUUCGAGUUUGGAUAACUCAUUUAAAUUAUUUUUAAAGUUUUAAAUCAUUAUAUAUUUAAAUUUCUCAAAAUCGAUAAAUAAAAUAAUAUAUUAUCUAUAAAUUUGAAUAAUAUCAUUUUACCAAACCCUAAUAAUUACAUGAAAAACAAAUAUCAACAUAUUUUUCAAAAUAUACACCCGUGCAGGCGUGUAGAUCAAAAUCUAUAAUCAUUUAUUUUAACAAUAAGCCAAAUAAAUAUGUAGAUUGGAGAGGGAAUAAAACAAAGCCAAAGAAACACAUAGUUUACCAGAGACACUCUAUGUGUCGAAUUUAUUAUAAAUAAAGUUUUACUAAGAUAAAUACAUUCAAUAAUUACAAACAAAUAAUAUAUUUCAUAAAAGUGAAAAAUAAUAGCCGCGCUUUUGAAGCGCGGAUCAAAAUCUAGUUAUACUUGGAUAUGGGCAUCAAGUUUGAUGAUGAGAUUCAUGGUCUGUGGCUUCUCGGUACUUUACCGAGAGCCACUACAUGAUCAUGAUGUGUGUGACCUACGAGCUUGGACUCAAACCCACGAGCCAAUCAUGUGAUGAAUCGAUUUCCUUCUUUGAUAGUAGACUGUUAGAGGAAUCGAAGAAGAUGAGAUGAAACGAGAAAGAUGAAAAAUGAUUCUGUUAUUCAGUUACAGAGUUAGUUAAUCUGUUUAUAUAUUAUAGAGUAACCGGUUUAAUUACAUGGUUUAUACUAAAACAAUUAUACAAUCCCGGUUAACUCUAAUACCUCUCCUCAAAAUGGCAUGUAGAUUGAGCUAAAUGACAUCUUGUUCAGUAAGCUAUGGAAGAUUGCAGGAUAUAAGGGCUUGGUAAAGACAUCCGCUCUACGUUUGCUUAGCAGAAACAGAGACCUGAAGCAGCAGCUCUACGUUUGCCAAGCUUGGUGUGAAGGUUUAUGUCCUUAAUCAUCAAUUAUCUCUUGGUAUGCUUAACCAAAGAGUGAGGAAGUUGGUUUAGCCGGUUUAGGUAAUAACCAAGUCACAUGUAUGUCACGUGUGUAUUCUUUGUAAACGACUAAGAUAAAGUCGUCGUAUCUUCUUCUUCCUCAUUAACAGAAGAAACGAUCUGGGUGAUUAGAGCUGUAACAGAUGGUGAGUGAGAGCAGCAUUGUAGAGAGAGAUCAAGAGCUCGAGUUGGAGCUGUUCUAGUGGAUUGCUGGCUGAGCCCAGCCCCGGUGAGUAUAGCUCCUUCUCCACAUUGGAGGAGAGAGGUGAACACCGCGCAAACAAGAUUCUUGUGUCUCUUUUCUUUAUCGUUUCUAAUCUCUUCUUUCACACAAAAGAAUCCGAUCAACAAUGAGUAGUUAAGCGACUGAGAGUCUAAGGAGUGGAUUGAGCUUAGGGAUCUUCACACUUGAAUCUUUCAAGCUCCAUCUGCAUAUCCAUCAACAUGUUCAUCCGUUGCAACUCAAGCUCCUUUGCAGCUUCCAUCCUCUGCUUCUCCAACUCAACCAUCAUCCUCUGCUUCGCACCUUCCAUCCUCUCGUACACCUCCCCCAACUUCAAAAUCGCCCUCGCCAGCUCCCUAUACACGACGACCCUUCACACAGAUCUACAUCUCCUAAAUGACUAAAAGCUUUAGAACAAGCAAAUGUCUAUUUGGCUAAAUAUUGACUCUUUUUGAUUACUUCCGUUGUACAAAUUUCAUGUUUUGUCCUCAGUAUUUAGUUAUUUCACGAGCUAUUUUUAGUACUAACUUCACAUUCGAUUGAGUUUGUAAAGGUCUCAUUUAUUUUUCCUUUCUGUCUUCAACUUACUAAGCCAUAAUCACAGUGUUCUUGUAACGACCCGGUUCAUCAAAAUCGGUUUGGUUUGGUUUAAUUACAAUUUUAAUUAUAACUUAAACCAUCCUCCUUAAUUUUUGGUCAAAUCGUGCAAUUUAUAUAUCAUUGUACGCAUCUCCCUUCCUCUCAUUUGACCUAGCCGUAAUCACCAUCGCAGCCAUUCUUCAUCGCUAUCUUCUUCUUCAUAUUAACCAUCUCACGUCAUCUUCACGUUCUUCUCUCAUCACGUUGUUUUCGUGAGGAUGAAUUGAUAUGGAGUAUUGCCGUAUCACCUCCGAUCGUCACCACCGUUGCGCUUGUGAACUAAUCACCACCGUCCACCACCACCACCUCUCGUUGGUCAGCACCAGAAUCAUCAUGUUGACCCAAGGCAGAGCUGGAGAUUCCUUACCGUGUCGGAGCCACCGUUCAUAACAAACAAUCGCUCGUUUGAUCCAAGCUUGAUGGCGACUUGUUGUGUGUGCCAUCACCACCUCCACAUGUGUUACCACCGGAGUCGGCACAGCCUUGCCGUCAGAGAUCCAUCGCCAUUUCAUGUAGUCGUUUCGUACUAGGCUUGUGAUAUACGGAAAACGCGAUCAAGCCGAGAAGGAGGGGAACCGUGCGAAACUGGAGCCACAUUCUCUUCACCGACGACCACCGAUCUGGGCCGCCAUGAGCCGUUAGCCACCUGAGAGCUGAGCCGUGUCACUGGAGAUAUGGACUUCGAACUGUAGCUAUGUCCAAGAAGGUUAAGUGUAUCAUUAGUUGUUUCUUGUGAUACAAGGAACAUAUUUUAACAUGCACUUUUACCAUGGCAUGCGCAGGAAGCGAUCAUGGACCUUAUGGGGACUUGUUUGCCAAGCCAUUCCCUCUAAAGCCUAGAUGUUUGAUGAGGCAUAUCAGUUCCCGAGUAUGACCUGAUCAAUCUCCGAUCUUGGCUAAGGUGAGGGUCUAUUCCGUAAAUCCCGUACGAGUGUAGAAUUCUCUCUAUCGUAGUUUAUAUUUUGAAUCAUGAUCCGUCUGUUUGAAUUGAGUCUGUUUGAGUCUUGAUUGUUAGUCAGUUCAUUCAUAUAUAUAUCCGUAUGAGGAGAUGCGGGGUGUAUGGACUAGCUAUAUGCUAUCAUCGCAUUGUUUGUGUUGUGAUGCUUUAAGCAUCUUGUUUGUUCAUGUUAGAGCUAAACUUCCAUAGUGGAAGUUCUAUUUACUCAAGUCAGUGGUUUGCGUGUUUAGCAUCCCAUACCUCACGGAGUAACUCCCUGUUGCUCACCCCCAUCUUCUCAUUGCAGGUGAGCUUGCCGAGUAGUUGGAUAUCUGGACGGUUUGGUGUCUUGGAGAUCACAUAUUUUAUUCCGGUUUUACAUUCGAUUUAUUAGACGUAUUUUUAUAAAUCAAUUUGAAGAUGUAAUUCUUUUGUAUUUAUUUUAUUAAAUGCUUUGGUAUUUUAUUCGGUUUUGAAUAACUCGGUUUGAUUCGGUACUUUUCGGUAAGUAGCACGCCGGUCUCGAAAGAGGAGGAGACGGGUGUUACAGUUCUGCUAAUGAUUUCCUUAACCACAUCGUUUAUCAACAUGCCUUUAACUAAACAAGUUGGAAAUUAUAACCCUCUGAGCUAUCUAGAGGGUUACAUUUGACUUUUAAUGUUCUGAGCCAAUUUGAAUCUCCGAGCCCUAGAUAUCUUCAUUUCCGUCAAGGCUACGCAAGAUUGCUCUCCAGAGCCUCCUCGUGCCACCAAUGUAGUAAUCGAAGUUGUGUGAGAGCAAAAGCCCUCUCGAGAGCUGAGGUAUUGCUCUAUUCAGGAUGAUCGGCUCCUAUAUAUGUAUUUUAAGAUAAGUUUUGAUAAAAUUAUACAAAGCUCUUUUGAAUUUGGAUUAGGGCUAAUGUUUCAGUAGGCUUUGCUCCUGUUUCAACUCUAAUAUUAACAAUUCACUUGCUAUGUUUCAGAUGAGUUUGUUGUUUUCUUGAAGCUGUUUCUGCGCUUUGUAUACUUGUGUGCGAUCUUGUUUAAUAAGUUUGUAGAGUUGGACAUGAAUGUAAUGAUGCUCUUGUAGGCUAAAUCAUCAAGCGUUGAAGCAUCUAUGUAGUUUAUGGCUGUGACAACUCUGCUGAGGUUGACGUGGGGAUUGUAUUUACCGAAGUUCAAAAGACUUCCCACUCCUUUAAGUUCCUGUCUUUACUUUUCGACCCAUGACUGGCUUAAGUUUUCUUCUUGUAAAGAAGGUUUUCUCGGACUUUCUCUUGGUCUUCUCUCAAGCAAGUACACAAGCUGCCUACAGGGUUGCGUGGCCUUAACAUUAUAGAACCGUCUCUCUCUCUCAGUCUGCUUCGAAAUCAAUGAGGAGGGAAACUGGGACAUAGUAUGCUUUCUGCAUUGAAAGUAUACUAUUAAAUAUGACCAGAGAAAUUUCCACAUAUCAUGAACUUGAUAUCGAUUAGGAAAGUUUUAUCGCAAGUAUAAACAUAAGCAUAGUAAGUCUUUCGUAAGUAGUUGUUUGGUUUGGAAUUUUUUGUUUAAAAUUUUUCGUAAUUAAUUUAGGGUACCAAUAUGUGUGGAAAUUGAUAGUGGAUUUCGACGUGAUGUAUAAUGGAUUUUUCUGUGUAAUAAAUAGAUGGGUAUGGAAGCACGUUACUCAUCACCAAUUUCCUUGUUCUUUUUGCUCUUUCUUUAUUUCAUAUUCAAGAAAGAUAAAUUAGCUUAAAGAAGGAAUGAGAGGCUUUUGGAACUUAACGAGUACCAUUUCUCUUACUCUUUCUAUACUUUACUUAUUCGUUUACAAUGAUGAGGACGUGUCUGCGGUUCCUACUAGACACUUGUGUCGUCCUGAUCAAAGGGAUGCACUUCUCCAGUUCAAGAACGAGUUUGAGGUUCAAAACUCUUCCAUUUCUUAUUAUAGAUGUAUUUAUAGUGGUAUUAAACCUCAUGAGAAGACCGAGUCAUGGAUGAAUAACAGCGACUGCUGUAACUUGUUGGGUUCCUCCUAGAUGGAGGUAACCCAUUGGGUUUGGUUUUGACAACUAAACUUGGUGUUGGACAAUGGUAUUAGCCCAUGAAGUUAGUAUUGGGUCUUGGGAGUUAAUGACCCAUAAUGUAAGUCUCCUAACCUAAUUUGGAGAGUGGUUGCAGACACAACACGAACAGACAAGAUCAGACUCACAAUAAUAAAGUUUAGAGAGAGAGAGAAAGAGAAGAGAGAAAAGGAGAGAAGAAAACAGUUUUCGUCUCAGUUUGUCAAGACAUAUUUGGAGGGUCAAACGGAACUUGAUCGGGCUGAUAUUUUGUGGGAAGCUUCUUCAGUCAGUGGGUUAAAGGUUCACCGAAGGGAUUUGGAUUUCAACGGUUGGAUCUUCUGUUGUCUGGGUUUUAGUGAAGCUGGUCGUCACAGCUCUUCAGCAAGGCUGUUUUGGCUGUUUGGUAAAUCCAACGGUAAAAUAUUCUCUGAUUGAGCUGAAAUUUGGCAGAUGUAUUGUUGACUUGUUUAUCUUGGAUUUGUACGGUGAGAUUAGUCUCUGGUUUCCGGAAUCCUUAUGAGCUGAGGUCGUUUGGAUGCUGCCGGUUUUGAAGCUUUGUGUUGCUCUCUUGUUGUUGUUGUUUGUGUUGGAGAUAACUCUUUGAAGCUAGUGUCUCUGUUCUGUUCUGAUUGUUGAACAGGGAGGACGUGGUUGUACUCACAAACAUUUAUAUAGUGGAUUGUUGAGUGGACUACGGUCCCGUGGUUUUUUCUUCUCACAUCGAGGAGGUUUUCCACGUAAAAAGUGAUUGUCUCAUUUACGUUUCUGCUUAUACUAUAUUCUGCCAUCGUCAAAGUAAUUUCUUCACAGGUUCACACAAGGUCAGGGGAACACGACUUUGAGUAUUUCCGCUGCGCCGUGAGACUUUCCCCAACAGAGUGGUAUCAGAGCUUCUGGUUUUAGAGCUUUGGUUUUGAUAACUUUGGGUUAUUAUUUGCUUGUGUGAAAGAUGGAAAAUAUGAGCAGGAUGAUAAGCUUGAAUGGUGCUAACUAUCAUCUAUGGAAGGGCAAGAUGGAGGAUUUGCUCUUUGUUAAAGAAUUCCAUGUUCCAGUCUUCGAGGAGCAGAAACCUGAGAAGAAGACGGAUGAAGAGUGGAAGCUGCAGCAUCGCCAAGUGUGUGGGUUGAUAAGGCAGUGGGUAGAUGAUAAUGUGUUGCAUCAUAUUGAGACUGAGACGGAUGCUCGUUCUUUGUGGAAGAAGCUGGAGCAGUUAUAUGCUAGAAAGACCGGAAACAACAAGAUGUACAUGAUCAAGAAGUUGAUUGAGCUGAGGUAUCAGGAGGGGACUCCGAUGACAGAUCACUUGAAUGCGUUUCAGGGAUUGCUCAACAAGCUGUCUGAUAUGGGCAUCAGGUUUGAUGAUGAGAUUCACGGUCUGUGGCUUCUCGGUACUUUACCGGACUCUUGGGAGGUUUUCAGGAUGUCUCUUUGUAACUCCGCGUCGGAAGGUGUUAUUUCGAUGGAUUCAGUGAAGAACAGUGUUCUUAAUGAGGAAGCAAGAAGGCAGUCGAAUGCUAGCAGUUCGCGUUCAGAUGUCUUUGUUACUGAGUCAAGGGGGAGAAGUACAAGUAGAGAUCCCAAGAGAGACAAGAACAGGAGCAGGAGCAAGUCUAAUAGAUUUGCUAAUAUGGAGUGCUACUUCUGUCAUAAGAAAGGGCACAUGAAGAAGGAUUGCUGGAAGUUGAAAAACAAGCAGCAAGGAAAUCAAGAAGAAAAGGUGGAUCGGGUGACUCUCACCGAAGAUCAGUUUCUCAUUCUUCUUGAGGGUGAUGCCAUUAAUGUCGCAUGCCAGGACACCAGUUGGGUGAUUGACAGUGGAGCUACUACUCAUGCUACAUCACAGCGGGAUUUGUUUUCUACCUAUACUACGGGUAAUUAUGGUUCUGUGAAGAUGGGGAAUGAUGCGAUGGCUCAGGUUGCUGGCAUUGGUGAUAUAUGCUUGGAGACUAGUCUUGGGACUAGGUUGGUGCUUAAGGAUGUUAAGCAUGUUCCUGAUAUUAGGAUGAAUCUGAUAUCGACGGGAAGACUUGAUGAUGAGGGCUAUUUCAGUUUGCACGGUGGUGGUAAAUGGAAGCUCUCUCGCGGUUCUUUGAUUGUGGCUCGAGGUGAGAAGUCUUCAUCUUUCUAUUGGAUGCAGGCUAAGGUCUCCAAAGAUGUUGUUAAUGCGGUGGAGAAUGAUAAUGCCAUGGAGUUAUGGCAUAAGAGACUCGGUCACAUGAGUGAGAAGGGAAUGGCUGUGUUGUCUAAGAAUGAGGUGAUCUCAGGAAUCUCUGGUUUGCACAGUGUUCGCAUUGCUUUGCGGGAAAACAACACAGGGUAUCUUUCAAGUCUUCCGCACCUUCUAGGAAACCCGAGGUACUGGAUUUGGUACACUCAGAUGUGUGUGGUCCAAUGAAGACAAGAUCUCUUGGUGGCGCAUCAUAUUUUGUGACUUUUAUUGAUGAUCAUUCAAGGAAGUCGUGGGUAUUUCCUAUGAGGACGAAGGAUCAGGUGCUGGGAUAUUUCAAGCACUUUGUGGCAUUGGUUGAGAGACAAACGGGGAAGAAGCUGAAGUGUAUCCGCAGUGAUAAUGGUGGAGAGUAUCUUGGACCAUUUGAUGCUUAUUGCAAAGAGCAUGGAAUAAGGCAUCAGUUCACGCCACCUCAUACUCCACAGUUGAAUGGGUUGGCUGAAAGGAUGAAUCGGACGAUUGUCGAGAGGAUGAGAUGUUUGAUCUCACAGUCAGGCUUAUCGAUGACUUUCUGGGCAGAAGCUUUGAACACGGUGGUUCAUGUGCUGAAUUUGUCACCAAGUGCUCCAUUGGAUGGUGAUGUUCCAGAGAGGGUUUGGACUGGUAAGGAUGUUUCUUACAGUCACUUGAGGGUCUUUGGGUGUAAGGCAUUUGUUCAUAUUCCCAAGGUUGAUAGAUCGAAGCUUGAGAUGAAGUCGCGGCAGUGUGUGUUCAUCGGUUAUGGUCAUGAUGAGUUCGGGUACAGAUUUUAUGAUCCCGUUGAGAGGAAGCUCGUAAGGAGCAGAGAUGUUGUGUUUAUGGAAGAUCAAACGAUUAAGGACAUUGACAAGUCCAAAAAGCCAACUCAGAUUUUUGAGGGUUUGAUCGAUACAGAGGCUACUCCUUCUACAUCGGUUCACGGUGAGGUUGAGGUUGAGGUUCAGGAUAAUGCACCCAGUGCAGAUGCUCCCGCACAUGAAGAUGGUAGUGGUGAUCAUGGUGACGAUCAUGGUGAGACACCAGCUGCUGAGAACCAACCUACUAUUGUUAGAAGAUCCGAGAGAGGUCUUAAACCGUCGACAAGGUAUGAUCCUAGUGAGUAUGUAUUACUUACUGAUGGGGGAGAGCCUGAAAGCUAUGAUGAAGCUUUGGAGGAUGAACACAAGGAUAAGUGGUUUGGAGCCAUGGAUGAGGAGAUGGAUUCUUUUGAGGAGAACCAUACUUUUGAGUUGGUGGAAUUGCCUAAGGGCAAGAAGGCUCUGCUUAAUAAGUGGGUGUACAGAAUUAAGCAUGAGGAUGAAAAUUUGCCACCUCGACACAAGGCUAGAUUGGUUGUGAAAGGCUACAGCCAAAAGAAGGGAAUUGAUUAUGAUGAAAUCUUUUCUCCUGUUGUGAAGAUGUCAUCCAUUCGGGUUGUACUUGGAUUGGCAGCGAGCCUUGAUCUAGAGGUUGAGCAAAUGGACGUGAAGACUGCUUUCCUUCAUGGUAAUUUGGAGGAAGAGAUCUACAUGGAACAACCGGAAGGCUAUGUGCAAAAGGGCAAAGAAAAUUUGGUUUGCCGCUUGAAGAAAAGCCUUUAUGGAUUGAAGCAAGCACCAAGGCAGUGGUACAUGAAGUUCAAGUCUGUUAUGGGGGAGCAUGGUUAUGCAGAGACUGAUUCAGACCAUUGUGUAUUUGUGAAGGUGUUCGGUGAGGAUGAUUUUAUCAUCUUGUUGCUGUAUGUCGAUGAUAUGUUGAUUGUGGGCAGGAACAUGGACAGAAUUAAGGAGCUGAAAGAGCAGCUAGGUAUGUCCUUUGCCAUGAAAGAUAUGGGUCCAGCGAAACAGAUUCUCGGUAUGAGAAUUAUUCGAGAUAGAGGUGAGAAGCUGAUUCACUUAUCUCAGGAGAAGUACAUUGAAAAAGUACUUAAGCGGUUUCACAUGGACAAGUCUAAAGUGUUGAGUACUCCUCUUGCUCCACACUUAAGACUGAGCAGUCAACAAAGUCCGAAGACAUAUGCGGAGAAGGAAGAUAUGGCGAAGGUUCCAUAUGCUUCUGCAGUGGGUAGUUUGAUGUAUGCCAUGGUCUGUACAAGACCAGAUUUAGCCUACGCCGUUGGAGUUGUCAGCAGGUUUCUCUCCAAUCCGGGAAGAGAACAUUGGAAUGCUGUGAAGUGGAUUUUGAGAUAUCUCAGAGGGACUUCUGAUCUGAAGAUUACAUUUGGGGGUAAGAAGCCUUUGCUGGUCAGUUUCACUGAUUCUGACAUGUCUGGAGAUGUUGAUUCUAUCAAGUCUACUUCGGGUUACUUGAUAACAUUUUCGGGUGGAGCUGUGGCAUGGCAGUCAAGGCUGCAAAAGUGUGUUGCACUAUCUACCACUGAGGCAGAGUUCAUUGCCGCAACUGAAGCUUGUAAAGAAUUGUUGUGGAUGAAGAACUUCUGUGAAGAGAUCGGUUUCAAGCAAGAGAAGUAUGUGUUGCUUUGUGAUAGUCAAAGCGCUAUUUGUCUCGGGAAGAAUUCUACAUUUCAUUCGAAGUCAAAACACAUUCAGAGGAGGUAUGAUGUGGUUGCUUCUAAGGAAGUGGAACUUGAGAAAGUUCAUACGGAUGAUAAUGGAGCUGAUAUGAUGACGAAGUCAUUACCGAGGGGGAAGCUUGAAGUAUGCCGAGGGAUAGCCGGAAUGGCUGUUUCCUCCACCUAGUCGGAGGGGGAGUUUGUUGGGUUCCUCCUAGAUGGAGGUAACCCAUUGGGUUUGGUUUUGACAACCAAACUUGGUGUUGGGCAAUGGUAUUAGCCCAUGAGGUUAGUAUUGGGUCUUGGGAGUUAAUGACCCAUAAUGUAAGUCUCCUAACCUAAUUUGGAGAGUGGUUACAGACACAACACGAGCAGACAAGAACAGACUCACAAUAAUAGAGUUUAGAGAGAGAGAAAGAGAAGAGAGAAAAAGAGAGAAGAAAACAGUUUUCGUCUCAGUUUGUCAAGACAUAUUUGGAGGAUCAAACGGAACUUGAUCGGACUGAUAUUUUGUGGGAAGCUUCUUCAGUCAAUGGGUUAAAGGUUCACAGAAGGGAUUUGAAUUUCAACGGUUGGAUCUUCUGUUGUCUGGGUUUUAGUGAAACUGGUCGUCACAGCUCUUCAGCAAGGCUGUCUUGGCUGUUUGGUAAAUCCAACGGUAAAAUCUUCUCUGAUUGAGCUGAAAUUUGGCAGAUGUAUUGUUGACUUGUUUAUCUUGGAUUUGUACGGUGAGAUUAGUCUCUGGUUUCCGGAAUCCUUGUGAGCUGAGGUCGUUUGGAUGCUGCCGGUUUUGAAGCUUUGUGUUACUCUCUUGUUGUUGUUGUUUGUGUUGGAGAUAGCUCUUUGAAGCUAGUGUCUCUGUUCUGUUCUGGUUGUUGAACAGGGAGAACGUGGUUGUACUCACAAACAUUUAUAUAGUGGAUUGUUGAGUGGACUACGGUCCCGUGGUUUUUCCUUCUCACAUCGAGGAGGUUUUCCACGUAAAAAGUAGUGAUUGUCUCAUUUACAUUUCUGCUUAUACUAUAUUCUGCCAUCGUCGAAGUAUUUUCUUCACAGGUUCACACAAGGUCAGGGGAACACGAUCUUGAGUAUUUCCGCUGCGCCUUGAGACUUUCCCCAACAUAACUGGGAUGGUAUCACCUGGAACGGCAAGUCUAGUGAAGUGAUCGGGCUAGACCUUAGUUGCAGCUACCUAGGUGGCCAGUUUCAUUCCAAUAGCAGUCUUCAAAACCUUCAUUCUCUAACCACUCUUGACCUUACAGGAAAUCGUUUUAGUGGACAGAUCAUGUCUUCAAUUGGAAACUUUUCUCAUCUCACCUCUCUCAACCUUUCACAAAAUAAUUUCAGCGGGUUCAUUCCUUCUUCGAUAGUAGACCUUUCUUAUCUCAUCUUUCUUGAUUUUUCUAUUAAUAGUUUUUCGGGUCAGAUUCCAUCUUCGAUUGGAAAUCUUUCUCAUCUCACCUAUCUUGACCUUUCUUCUACUCAAAUUUUGGGUCAGAUUCUAUCUUCUAUUGGAAAUCUUUAUAAGAUCACUUAUCUUGACCUUUCUAACAACAAUAUUGUUGGUGAAAUCCCAUCUUCUUUUGGCUAUCUAAACCAGCUGACCAGCUUAUAUGUUGGUCUCAAUAGGCUCAAUGGAAGCUUUCCCAUUGCACUACUGAAUCUGACAGAGUUGUCAUCUUUAUCACUUAGCUACAACCAGUUCACAGGCAUAAUUCCUCAUAACAUCACUUCACUCUCCAGCCUUCUUCCCUCUUCACCCUUCCUUCUAUGGAUGUUGUUACUUUCUCUGAUAACCAACUCAACGGAACUCUUGAGUUUGGGAUUAUAUCUUCACCACCUAAGCUACAAGUGUUAGCCGUUGGCAGUAAUAACUUGAGAGGGCCAAUCCCAGAAACAAUAUCCAAAUUUACCAACCUUGAAGAACUUGACCUUUCCCAUUACAAUACACAAGGUCCAAUUGACUUUAGUAUCUUCUCACAUCUCAAGUUGCUCGAUUAUCUUGACCUAUCCCAUGUGAACACGACCACUACCAUUGACUUGAAUGAUUUCUUGUCAAAUUUUAGGAGGCUCGAUGGGUUGUUUCUCUCAGGCAACCAUGUUUCUGCCACAAACAAGAUUCCAGUUUCAGGUCCCCCAUUACUGCGUUAUUUGCACUUGUCAGGCUGCGGUAUGACCGAGUUUCCGGAGUUUGUAAGAAACCAACAAUAAAAUCAAAGGUCAAGUGCCUGGCUGGUUAUGGACGCUACCAAAUCUUACUUACCUGAAUCUUUCCAACAACACUUUCACCAGCUUUAAAAACUCAACGAAACAUGGGCUAUCUAUGAUAAACUUGUUAGCCUCCAACAACAAUUUCACGGGAAAUAUUCCAUCUUUCAUAUGUGGUUGGCGCAGUCUUGCCACUCUUGAUUUAUCAAACAACUACUUCAGUGGUUUAAUCCCUCUUUGGCUGGGAACUCUCAAGGAGGAAUUCCGGAGACUAUAUUUGAAAGCUUAAGAACGCUUGACGUUGGUCAUAACCAUCUGACCGGAAAACUUCCAAGAUCUUUGAUCCAUUUCUCUAGUCUUGAAGUUCUGAACAUGGAAAGCAACAUUAUCAAUGAUAUGUAUCCAUUUUGGUUGAGUUCUCUACCAGAGUUAAAAAUUCUUGUGUUACGUUCCAAUGUUUUCCAUGGACCGAUACAUCAAACUUCAUUUCCUAAGUUGCAAAUCAUCGACAUAUCUCACAAUCACUUCAAUGGAGCUUUGCCAUCAGACUUCUUUGUUAAGUGGAGUGCUAUGUCAUCACUUGGGACAGUUUAUGAUCAGCAGAACAAAAUGUACAUGGGGGAUUCCUAUUACCAUGAUUUAGUAGUUUUGAUGAAUAAAGGUUUAGAGAUGAAGCUACAGCAUAUCCUAAAGAUCUACACAGCACUCGACUUUUCAGGGAACAAACUUGAAGGAGAGAUCCCAAGGUCCAUCGGUCUACUAAAAGAGCUUCAUGUGCUCAACUUGUCGAACAAUGCUUUCACCGGCGUCAUCCCUUCAUCUAUGGGAAACCUGACAGCUCUUGAGUCACUAGACGUUUCCCAAAACCAGUUUUCAGGAGAAAUUUGCAAGAGCUAGGGAGCCUCUCAUUCCUUUCCUACAUGAACUUCUCUCAUAACCAGCUUACAGGUCUAGUACCAGGCGGCACUCAGUUUCGAAGGCUGAAUUGUACUUCCUUUGAUGGUAACAUGGGACUUUUUGGCCCUUCUCUUGAUGAAAUUUGCAAAGACAUUCACACUCCAACACCACAUGAAACGUCGGAAUCAGAGGAAGAAGAAGAGGAAGAGGUGUUGAGUUGGAUAGCAGCUGUAAUAGGAGUCAUACCUGGUAUUGCCUUUGGAUGGGUGAUUGGAUACAUACUUGUUUCCUACAAACUAGAGUGGUUCAUGAACCCUUUUCUCCGAAACAAACGCAGACGCAGCAGCAACACAACUCAUUAAAGAGGUAAUAUAUUCGAGAGUUUUAAGUCAACUUGUUAGCAAACAUUUGAAGAAACAAAAAUAUUAUAGUCAAAUCUCCUGAAUAAACCUCCUUGUUUUCUUUGUAUAGGUCUUUUAUAACCUACCUGAGGAAUCUGAAAGAUGAAAUCGGAGGCAAUCACUAUGUUUAUCUGUAUCAAUGAGGAUUUGGAGUAUCAUCUCCGGUUUAGCUUGGUGUUUUCUCAUUACUCUGUUUUUACUUUUUAUUGUUAAGCUAGACGGGCUUCCAACCUAAAAGCAAUUGGUGAUAAGUGGAGUGGUCCAUCUAUCUUAUAUAUUACUUAGGAUCCCUUCCAACUACCGAUGUGGGACACUUUGUGUCUAAUACGCCCCCUCGAGAUGAUGGCUCUUUGAGCGUCAAUCUCGGAAUGCUCGGGAAAGGAUCGAUAGGCCAACUUGGGCCAGAUCGAUGGAUCGGAUUGGACUUCGUGGAUCGGGCUCUGAUACCAUGUUAAGCUAGAUGGGCUUCCAACCUAAAACCAAUUGUGAUAAGUGAAGUGGCCCAUCUAUCUUAUAUACUACUAAGAAUCUCUUCCAACAUCCGAUGUGGGACUUUGUCCCUAAUACGCCCACUCGAGAUCAUGGCUCUUUGAACAUCAAUCACAGAAUGCUUGAGCAAGGAUCGAUGGACCGACUUUGGACUGGAUCGAUAAUAGAUCGGGUUGGACUGCGUGGAUCGGGCUCUGAUACCAUGUUAAGCUAGAUGGACUUCCAACCUAAAACAAUUGGUAUUAGACACAAAGUGUCCCACAUCGGUAGUUGGAAAUGAUCCUAAGUAAUAUAUAAGAUAGAUGGACCACUCCACUUAUCACCAAUUGGUUUUAGGUUGGAAUCCCGUCUAGCUUAACAUGGUAUCAGAGCCCGAUCCACGAAUUCCAACCCGAUCCAAACAAUCCAAUUCGAUCCUUGUCAAAACAUUCCGAGAUUGACGCUCAAAGAGCCAUCAUCUCGAGGAGGCGUAUUAGGGACAGAAGUCCCACAUCGGGUAUUGGAAGUGAUCAUUAGUAAUAUAUAAGAUAGAUGGGGCACUCCACUUAUCACCAAUUGGUUUUAGGUUGGAAGCCCGUCUAGCUUAACAUGGUAUUAGAGCCCGAUCCACGAAGUCCAACCCAAUCCAUCGAUCUGGCCCAAAGUUGGCCUAUCGAUCCUUGCCCGAGCAUUCCGAGAUUGAGCCAUCAUCUCGAGGGGGCAUAUUAGACACAAAGUAUCCCACAUCGGUAGUUGGAAGGGAUCUAAGUAAUAUAUAAGAUAGAUGAGCCACUCUACUUAUCACUGUUGUAAAUAGAGGGUUUAGAGACUGAAUAUUUCUCUGUGUGUUAUUAUUGAUCAAUAGUGGUUCCUUAUAUAAGGAUUACAAAGAGUAGAUAAAAGGAAAGUAUCCAAAACCUAAUCCAACAGGAAAUAGGAAAACUAAAGAUAACAAGGAAAAAGGAAAACAUCAUAAUCCUAAGACGGUCUAAACCGACCGUCUCUCUCUCCUCGGACGACCGACUCUCUCUCCUCUUGGUCACGGCCACGGCUGGGCCUGGUCGUGGCUGAUGGGCUUUCUCCUCUUGUCUUGGUUAAUGGCAAUCCACUCCAUGAUUUAUAACACUCCCCCUUGGAUGCCAUAACCAUACAGGAUUUGUAGUACGCUUCAUGUUGCCUCAUUAAAACCUUAUCAGGAAAACCCAGUGGGACAAAACCAUGAUGAAGGAAAAAGAGUACAACACGAACUACUCCCCUUGAUGUGAACCUCAGUGUCGGUUCUACAUUCUACGCAUCUUGGUGCGUGAUAUUUCCUAUAUGUAUAGGAUGGGAGUAAUCGACCAGUUUCAUUACUGAACCGUAAUUAGACCACUUCGACUUCUUAGGUCGUUUCUCAUGUCCUUUGACAUCGAGUGUCCCGGUAAAGCUAUGUGCUAAGCAAUGUGAAUCACAUUGUCCUCGGAGAUCACUAUUGGGUCUUUGCAAAUUGUGUUUGCAUGUGUCCAUGGUCUAGACGUGUUUGUCUACUGUCAAACUCUUUUCUUUGACCAUUAUAAUCACCAUCGACCAUGUAUCAAUCUGGUCGAUCUAUGAUCGGGUCAUAGACCUCGUCUAUACGUGUCCACUACUUGUCUCAUGAGUGUUCAAGAUCAAUGAUCAUUACUGUGAGUUUAUAAUCUCUAAUUAUGGCUCUGUGGCCGAACACUCUCAUGGAUGUGGACAUCGAUUUCUUUGCCUUAGGUAAUGCCGUAUUCAUUAUUCUUUGCAUUCCUAUCUUAAUGAUGAUGAUGGCGUCUCAUGACCUUAGUUGCUGUGGAUCACAUCACACGCUAAGUAUACAUUAUUAGGUCAUGGACUUCGGCUUUCACGAGCUUAUGGACUACAAUACUUUAUAUCCGACAGGUAAGGAUAGAUUAAACAUCUCCUCUUACCCUUACGACAAAACUUUGUGGAGUUUAUACAGCAGCAGACCGUUCUGCUAUGCCGGAUCCUUAAGGGAUCUGAUUGUCGGAUUGCAACCUGAUGGUUGAUCUUUUCUACUAGCCCGUGAUCUAGAAGAAAGGACGGACACCUUAAGCUGAAGGGCCGGACGCAUUUUAUGGCCGAUGGGCUUAGAGCCGGAUGCCAUUUAGCAGAAGGGGCCGGAUGCCAUUUAGCAGAAGGGGCCGGACGCUUUUAGCUGAAAGCCGGAUGCCUUUUAACUUAAGGGUUGGACGUCUUUAGUCGAAGGACCGGACGCCUACAGAUACAUUAUGUAUCAGUCUACUAACCUCCUUUAGGUUUAGUACAAACACAAGGGAUUUCAAAUGUAUAUGGACUGUUAUUGGAUUGUCUUUUAUACAACUCCAAGAUCAUGCGUGAUCGCUUUCUUUUACAUACUAUAUGCAGCUGAUUUUCAGUCGAUGAAUCAGCUUAGGAACAAAGCUGUUCUUUCAAUUUUAUCCAGUGAUCCAUAUGCUGCUUACUACAUCGUUGUAUCUAAUUUCUUUCUUAUGACCAGACCAUUUUCAAUUUCGAAAAUCUGUAGCAGCAUCAACCACAUAGGAGUUUAUCUCCUUAUAAUAUGUUCCUUUGAUCUCUGUGAGUACAAGCUAUAAUCGAAUGCUGUGAAUAGGAAAACAUGAACACCUUUACAUCAUGUACAUCUCUCACGGUUUCUUUACUUCUCACAGGAUCCAUCUAUUUCACUGGUUUAUAGGAUGGCGUUUCUGUAUAUAUGUAUAUGGCCAAUACGCCCAUCACUUUCUUUAGAUACUUUGAACCUCCACGUUUUACCUUUUCUAAUCUCUAUGAUCUUUUAUGAUUGUAUGAGUACUCUUUCGUGGGUUCAUGAUCCUCGUUCAUCUCUUUAUGUUCAAGUGCUAUAACUUUAUGUAUCUUUAUACAAAUGUGUGUGUGUGUGUCGACACUUUCAUGUGGUUCCAUUAUGUUCCAGACAUGAUCUAUAGAUUUGAGAUCUUAUUAUCCAUGACCUUUGUUACCUAGUAGCUUGGCGUCCCAAUACUACAUGGUUUGGUACCUUAGAUGUGUAGCUGCACAGCCUUUUCUCAAUGUCUGUUUGGUUUCUAGUAUGAUCUCGGAUCUAUCAUUCCAUGCACCAUUCUUUUCUAUCCGAGAUCCCUUUAUCUUAUGGAACACUUGGCCUAUCUUGUAUAGACUCUAUAGCAACUUGAUUAUGUCUCUUCUAGGACAUUCAUUUGGUGCUAAGCUGGUUAGUCAUUUCUCGGGUCAGUGUCUGGCAUUUCGAUUAGCAUCUUAAUUAGCUAUCUUUAUAAUCUUUCUUUGGACGUCUUAAAUCAUAAUCUCUAGUCCGAGGAUCUUUGCCAAGACAAUGAUGGUUAAAAUCAUUCUUAUCAUUCUUUUAUCCAGCUUAUAAUCUUUCUCCUUUAAUGUUUGGAUAGAUGGAUGCAAUCCGUGUACUUGGCCACAAUCCGAUCACCCAUGUUUGGCUCAAGUUUUCUUUAUAAAUCGUGGGAGAAAGUAAUACUCCUAUCCAACAUAUAUUCCCAAUCCUCUUCUGAGGUUCCAUCUUAGACGGCACAUAUAUGUAUGUGGUGGUUUAUUCAAAAUCUCUUAAGAUGGUAUAUGUCUGGUUUUAUGACCCGUAUUCAAUCUGAGAUGGGAAUAUCUAUGCUCACUUAUAUGGCCUGAUGCAUUUUGUCAUUUAUAUACAUGUAAAUUCAUAAUGUCUCCAAGCUUAUAGACUUUAUAGUCUUAUCCUUAUAGGUAAUGGCUUACAUGGCCGAUAUCUUAUAGGUAAUAGCUUACUUGGCCGAAUCCUUAUAGGUAAUGGAACGUGUGCGGCCAAGCCUGCACUAUGCGGCCAAGUCACGACCAAGUCACGGCCGAGCCGUUUAUUCUCAUGGCCUCUUUGGUUUGGCCGUUUGUAUCAUGGCCUCUACGGCCGAGGAAUGGUCAUUUAUGGCCGAGUAAUGGCCGAGCCAUACACGAACUUGUAGUAUUGAUCAUGGGUUUAUCCUCUCUCCCCCUCAUGACCAUACUAUAAGUUUGUGGUGCUUGGGACAAUUAAGCCUAAUGAGUUUCCCUUUGUGUACAUGUUUCACAACAUGAGAUCUUUUACGGGAUAACUCUGUGCCUUUUCAAUCUUUGCAUCAAGUUUAGACUUUAGGAUGGCUAAUCCUAUCAUGCCAUAUAGUGUAAAAUUUCGUGGUGUUAUCUCAAUAUGGUUACCACAUCUCUUGCCUCUUUAUCAUACUGAUCUGUAGCAUAGUUUUGAUCAGUAGAGAUCAUAGGUAUAGUCUCGACCACUUUCUUUCAAGGUCUUAGGCGUUUUUCUUCUUAAAAUCUAAAGGAACUUGUUUCCUUCCUUACCCAUUGUUUCUACUUGGAAACCAUACAUUAUAACUUCAAUGGGUCACAUGUUCUUUUGGGUGUGUAUAAUGCCUUUUAAGGCAAUGCCUUAGCCAUAGUUUCUUUACUAUGCUUACUAUACCCAUUCAUGAUUUCUUACUUGGUUUUAUGCCCUUUAGGCAACUCUUUAAAAUCAUUUAUAUGUUCAAGUAAGAUCAGGCAAGACAAUGAAUUCAAAACCAAUUCCAUUGUAUAUAUAAAAUCGUGAACCAUCAAGUAGGUUAAAAGCAAAUCACAAAACAAGGACUUUAAAAUAAAAUGUCGAGAUCCCUCUUAGUUAAAUAGAUAAGCCGGCCUGUCCAUCUAUUGCAUUGGACACGGCUGCCUUGGAUUCAUCUUGAUCCAUUUCCUCAGGAUAUUUCAUCUCACUGCUUUUCUUUAGUACCUUGUCAUUCUCAAUCACCGUUAGGCAAGAGAUCAGGUCAUUGUAAGUGGUAGAACCUCUUUCUAUGUAGAUAUGUUUUGACAACAAAUCUUCUGGAUGGAAUGUGGAGUAUGUCUUGAAUAGACAAUCAUUAUCUGUUACCUCUUCUCCACAUAAUCUCAGUUGGUACACGACCCUGGACAAGGCAAAGUGAAACUCGGCCACUGUCUCAAAGUCUUGGAAUCUGAGACUCAUCCAUUCAUGUUUGACCUUUGGUAAUAAUACCAUAGUGUAUCUGGACUUUAAUUCUGUCCAAAGGUCACGAGGAUUCUCAAUAUGUAGAUACUGAUUUCUCAGUUCCUCAGUGAGAUGAUGGCGCAUUAUUGUAAUGGCUCUUAACUUUUCACUUUUAGUUGCAUAAUCACCCUGAAUGAUACUCCUUCCGAGUCCUCUUGAUUUCAGGGUAACUGAAGUGUUCAUUGCCCAUUCUAGAUAAUUAUCUCCAGAGAGAUUUAGAAUGGCAUAAUCCAUGGGUUCAAAUCUCGGCAUCUGAAAUCAUAUUAUCAAUCAAUUCAUUGAUUUAGAAUUCUUGCAACCAAUUUAAAUAAUCAGUGCAUAUGAUUUCAUAAGUCUAUCUAUGAUACUUAGGCCAUACGGCUUUUUCAUUUGUGAUGCUUAUACCUCACGGCCAUACAACGAUCUUAAGGAUCGGAUCAUGAUGCAAUCCGGUUUAUAAAAUCAUCCGGAUACUAGGCCACACGGUCACUUUGGUAUGCACUAAGCCACACGGCUUUUAAUCAAUCAAGGGCACAAAGCCGCAAGUGUGGGCAAUGUAUUAGGCCACAUGGCCAUAUACAAAAGGAGAUUAUUAAUCUAAGUGUAUUCAAUCCUAUUGCUUAGUUGCAUAUCUAUUAAGAUUUACCAAUUUCAAGGUUGGUAAUAUUAGAUUUUAGAAUCAAGCACUCUAGCAACCUAACUCUCAUUCAAUAUGUAAAUUCUUUAAAUCAAUCUUUCAAGCUUUAAGUAAUGAGAGAUUUAAGGUUUCAAGGCCUUUAGGAAUUUCAAACGAGAUUAAGGGUUUCAAGGCCUUAAGGAUUUCGAAUUUUGAGAUUAGAUCUAUCAAUACUAAAAUCUCAGAUCAAUCAAUCAAACAAUCAAACAAUUUAGAAACCUCAAUGAUCAAUAGAUCAGAUGAAGUCAAAACCGAUUUAAGCUUUUAGGGUUUCUAGGGUAUUUCGAAAACUUUGAUCUUUGAUCAAGGGGAUUUGAUUUGAGAUUCAAAAACCUUUAAGGUUCUGAUUUUAAUUGAUCAAUGGAUCAAUCUCGAAUUAUGGUUUAGGGGAUCGGACUUAUUCGAGCUCCGAUUUACUCUUUUAGGGUUUUAUCUAUUUAUCCUAAUGCUUUCAUCUUAGAGAUUAGUUUUAGAGUUUCAAUCUUUACAAACAAUCAGGUUCGAUUCAUGUUCUCAAAUUAAGUCUGUACCUUUGUUUUGCAGGUCUGAACCGGACCACCAAAGAUCAGAGACGAGCUGAGACGAACGGACGCGGAACGGCUCCUAUUGGGUCGCGUUGCCGAGAGCUAUCGCGAGCUUGUUUCUUCUCGCGGACGGUUUCGUCUGGUCGGGGAUUUGGUCUGAGCUGGACGCAAGCUGAGCUGAGGCUGAGGACGUUGAUCACGGACAGGGAACGUCUGAAGCUGAGCUUGAUCAGAGUUGAGCUUGAUCGGAGUUUGCAAGCCAGAACGCAAGCAAGAACAAUUUAGGGUUCUUCGGGAUUAUAUCUUUGCACGAACUCCUCUUAGCUCAUGAAAUAAAAACAAGGAGUAUUAGAUUACAUGAACACCAUAAUCUGAACAAGAUAUCAUCAAACAACUAAGGUAUGAUAAACUUAUCUUUCACAGGUUUUGAAUUUGGCUGGAAAAUCAUGUUGGUUCGGAUUAGGGUUCCAAAGACCAAGACGCCGCCAUGUAUUGUAUCUGAGAUCGUGGGCGCGUCUGAGAUUAUAUCGACGAACGGUUUGCGCUGAUGGAUUCGUUUCGUAAAGAGCUUCAAUUUGAUAUGUGGCUCGUCGUCUGGUUCCUCGGGGUUUGAGAGAUAGAUCGAUUUUAAGUUGCGUCAAAAUUAGGGUUUAUGUGUGACGGAUUUUAGGUUAGGUUUUGUCUCAGGGUUUUGGAGUCUAUCGUGCUGAUAACGUGUUGUAAAUAGAGGGUUUAGAGACUGAAUAUUUCUCUGUGUGUUAUUAUUGAUGAAUAGAGGUUCUUUAUAUAAGGAUUACAAAGAGUAGAUAAAAAGAAAAUAUCCAAAACCUAAUCCAACAGGAAAUAGGAAAACUAAAGAUAACAAAGAAAAAGGAAAACGUCCUAAUCCUAAGACGGUCUAAACCGACCGUCUCUCUCUCCUCGGACGACCGACUCUCUCUCCUCUUGGUCACGGCCAUGGCUGGGCUUGGUCGUGGCUGAUGGGUUUUCUCCUCUUGUUUUGGUUAAUGGCAAUCCACUCCAUGAUUUAUAACAAUCGCUAAUUAUUUUUAGGUUGGAAGCCCUUGCAAACUUCUUUGUUUCUCUGGCAUUGUUUCCGGUUUAAGUUGGUGUGUAUUUUCUCUACUUCUCUGUUUCUCUGUAAUUGAACAACUAUGUUUAUUACGCUGAAAAUUACAAGCACAGUCAAAGAUGUGUGUCUUUUCCGCUCUUCUGUAUCUAAACAUCAACUGUAUGGACGUGAGAUGAGCAAUAAACAGAUGAUCCAGAUCAACGCUAUAAGCAACACAGGACUUUCAUCACGGAAUUGGAUGAAGGAAAAGCUACCUGCGAUGAGAUGCUUGUCCCGGAGCCAGCAAGGCGUCUGGAGCUUCAACCAAGAUCAUACCGUCCCUGUUCAAGAUAUCCUAGUGAAAGUGAAUGAAUCCAUCGAAACCUUGUUGAAUCUGGUUAGGUGUGUCUUUGGUUUAAGGGCUGAAACACCAACGGUGAUCACCGUCAAGCUGCCUCCAUGGAUGCAUGGCCCAGAAGGAGCCACAAUCGCCCCACUGAACAUUGUAUCAAACACCGAUGUGGAGAUAAUGAUGGGUGCGCAUGAGUGGAACACAGAACCAAAACUCUCGGUCAUUAUUGGAGCGGAGGAGGUUGCGUGGUACCAGUUCGUAUGUCGAACAACGUUCACCAUAGGGGACAGAACGUUCUUGACAGAUGGAGUCUCCGAAGAGCAACACCUAGCAACCAUCAACGGUAAGCAAAAUCAAAAUUAAUAAAAAAGAUCUAUAGUUGAACCAGAAGAAGAAAAAUAGAUAAUUAAUUCUUUCCUUCCAAUUUUGUGGCAGAGAUAAUUGGAGAUGAGGAGAUAAAGUGUCCUAGGCGAUUUCUAGAGGAGCUUUUUAACCAGGACAAAAUGGCUGUUAUUUUUCGUUUUGCGAUGGAGGUUGAGAAAGCAAGAAAUAGUCUUGAUUUGAAUUUAAGCGUAUUUGAUGGAAACGGUGAUCAUAUAGUCCCAGACAUAGGAAAUCUUAACGAGGUCGGUCCAGAGUGGGGAGCAGGAGAGCAAUAUGGUGGUAUUGAUGGAUUUGGGGAUAUGGACGAUUCAGGUAAUGGACCAUAGUAUUCUUUAAUACACAAGCAUUGUUUCCUUUCGGUUACCGGAACUAAGACGUGUUAGAUUUCAUUUUAGAUGUGCCAGCAUAUCAAAAUGUCCCGGGGGGCCAUCUUCACGCGUUGAUAUCGGGCCGGUGUAUUGGCAAGACUUGAUGUCCAGCAGUUAUGCACUGCAGCUUGAUCGAAUUUAUGGGGUGGAAGGCUCGGAGUACGUGGGAUACCAACCUAGUGAUAUCGCUAUUGGGGGACCUGAGGCUAAGCAAAGGACACAAGCUUUACCGGUUUUUCAUGGGUCUCCGGUUCUAUCAUCAUCUGCUGUUACAAAUCUCCCAUCGGUGGGGUCUGAAGGGAACGUCAGUGGUGCGACAGUGGUUCAUAGAGGUACGUUGGUCAUUGUAAAUAGUAUUUUGCUAUACAUCACAUAUAGACGUCCUAAUGUGCAUAAUGUUAAUAAGGUGUAAUGGUUCUUUCACGGUUGCUGUUUCAUAGGAGGAGCAUUGACAAUCGUUCUUCAGGACAUUACGGGGGAUGAGGAGAAUAACGCUAAAGGAGGCGAGGAAGGCAAUAACGACGGCCCGGGUGGUGACCAGUAAACAUGAAUCCAAAUGCGUGUGGUAGUAAAGGGGUUGCAGUUUUUUGUUAUGUUUAAUAUCUACGGUCUUGAUGUUUCUGCAUGUUGUUUCUACAAGCUGGAAAAGGCGUAUUUCAUAAGGUUGUCCUGUAAAAUACCUGUGGCCUUGGGGUUUGUUUUUGGUUUGUUGGUCCCGGUUAAGUGUGUUCCUCUAUAUGUAGUGAAUCCUAUCGAGUAAUUUAAAAUACUUGGGUAUGUUUCGUGUAAUGUAAAAUAUUUGGGUAUCUAUCGACUAUUGCAAAAUAUUUCGUUCUCGCCAAUCUAUAAGUAGGAUCUUGUGUAAUAAAAACCCGGGUUUAGUACUUAAUAACCAUAAAUUUAUCCUAAAAUCCGGCAAUGUUAAUUGAACUACUCAACGAUAAAGAUGAAACAGUUUGACAUAAGUGGUGUGGUCAAUGGUACUUAGACGAAAUAUAUUUUGGAUAUGUUUGAUGUACAACUAUCACUAUGUAUUAAGUCAAAUAUGUAUUCGGUUAUUAACACACCUACUAUGUCGUGAAACUUUUAGUUCGAACCUGAUAAAUGAUGACAUGAGAGUUAGUAGAACGAAACAAAUGGUCUCAAUAAAACAUGUACGAAACAAAGGAGAUUGGAACAGAGUUUGGGCGAUAAAAAUGAAACAAGUCUAGCGUAGGACAACGGAGUUUUAACCCUAAACCCUAAAGAAUCUGGUGAAACUCAUUGAGCAUGACAGCGGCCCUCUGGGAUUCUUCGGUAAGAACUAGCGGGGUGACACACCUGAAUGUGUCUGGACCAAACAAGGCAUGAGUUUGCAUGAGCAAUGCUGCUGUAAACCCUGAAUCACCAGGGGGCAGCGUUAACUGGAACGCCUUUUAUUCUUUCAACCGACAGAUUUUGACCAUCAACUCUGUCAAUGCGACCACAAUACUUGAGGAGAAGGAGGAACAUCUCGGCAACAGGGUACAGAUCUCUUGACAACAGAGCAUCAGUGCGGACAACGGGGUUGCAAUCUAAAACGUAUAUCUUACAUGAUGGGCAGUCAACACAAAUGCCAAUCCAAUGCUUGUUCGCGAUGAGGAAUGGGAAAUAGAAACUGGUGGUGUUGCUAUCUUCAGAUCCAGUUUUCUUCAAACAAUCUGCCAGCCCCUUACUGAACGCAUAAUCUUUUUUGAUUUUCGCUUUCUUAAACUUGGGAUAGUUCCUAGUAAACAUUGUCACAAAUCGGGUAUCAAAGAACUCAGCGGUCUUGUCGCUCUUGGCCUGUACGUGUUUAUUGAAGGUUGAUCUGACUAGAUGCAUAAGUAUAUCCAUCACCUAACAUACUAAAAAUAUUAGGUUUCCCUUCCGAGAAGCAAGCAUUUUGGAAGCAUAUUUGAUUUUUAUUAACAGUACCUUAGCGGGUAGGAGCCUGUUCUUAUCAGCAAUGCCUGAUGUCCUUCGUGUUGAUAGAAAAACCGUCGACGUUUAUUAAACAGUCACCAAUAAAUAAUCAGCAGGGGAGUCAGUGUACUAAUGCACAACAAAAACAGAAAAAUUAGGUUACGUGUUAAAAUAACCGGGAGUUAGACAACCCACCGAGGCGGGGUGAAGAUGUGUAGAUAAACCAGUUUGGGGAAAUGUUAAUGCAGUUUACGUAAAUGAACUCCGGCCUCUUAUAUUAAUAACCGGUUACACAAAAAGUGUAUAGGGAGUUACCAUGGUCUAGUUAUGAGUGUUGUGAGCUUCGUGUACUUCUCACGGAGGACCGCAUUCACAUAGCGGUUGUCUGCACACAUCUGGGCUUCCCAAGCUCUGUUUAGGAUUGCAUAACUACAAUGGUAGUCAUUGACCAGUGCUGGUGGAACUGUCCUUAAGCGUUUGCUUUUGCGGCAAAGAGGACCGCCCUCUCCAUUUUCAUCGUUGUCUACAUCAGCAUUUACUAAAACAUCGGCAACAGCAUCAGUUGGUCUUCCCAGCUCAUCAUGAGUUAAUCCGAGCGAGAAAGAAUGAGCCUGCAUAAGUAUAAUUAAAGGGCUGUGAUUAACAAUAAAGCGAUAUGACCAAAAAUUCCUAUUUCAAAGCAAUGAUUUACCAGUGGGUCGUUCUCAUGCUUGGUAAUGCUGGUAGCAGACAAGGAUGUCUGUUGCUGAGUCUCACCUUCCUGAUGACCACUAGAGUGGGUGAGAGAUUUGUGCUUGUUAGAUCUCGCGUCGGAAAGCUGUUAUGAAAAAUUUUAAUAAAUAGAAACUCAGCAUAAGAUGAAACCAGAUCUGCAGACUAUAAUUUGGCUACAACACAGAGAAACCGGAUCUAUGUACUAUAUAUAUAUGCUACAACCCAAUAAAACAUGUAGUAUAAAUAGGUGAGAACUAAAACAAGAAACUAGAGGCUUACCGGGCAGCGUUGGGCAGACCGAGGAGGUGUGGAAUACUGACUAAGGCUCGCUCUCCAUCACACUAUUAAUAAUCUGGUCAUUGGCGUCUUCACCUGAUGGCUUUGCAUGUCGGGAGGUACCUGACCUGCUUCUAUUGUCAGCCGAUGGUGUAUGUUCUUGUGGCCGUUGCGAAGGGGUAAUAUUCCGUGUUUUUAACGGUUUUAAACUCGUUUUGGAGCAAUUAAAUGGUCGGUUUUAAUUAAUGUUUUGGUCUAUUUGAUGCGUUUUGGUGUUCUUAAGUGUAAUAUGCAGGUUACUAGAUAGCUUGAAAGAAAAGAACGCAUUCGGGAUUUAUUCAGAAGCAAGAUGGACCGAACAAUGGACCGAAUGAGAAGUAUUGAUCGCACAGNNNNNNNNNNNNNNNNNNNNNNNNNNNNNNNNNNNNNNNNNNNNNNNNNNNNNNNNNNNNNNNNNNNNNNNNNNNNNNNNGAAGAAGUUCAUGAGAGAUGUGAACCACUAUUACUGGGAUGAUCCCUUCCUCUACAAGAGAUGCUCAGAUGGUUUAUUCAGGAGAUGUGUUCUGGAGAAUGAGAUGCAAGGGAUUCUUUUCCACUGCCACAGUUCAGAAUACGCAGGCCAUUUUGCAACAUUCAAGACGGUUUCUAAGGUCCUGCAGGCUGGUUACUGGUGGCCUACACUUUUCAGAGACGCCCAUGAGUUUGUCUCAAAGUGUGAUGCAUGUCAGCGGAAGGGUAACAUCAGUAAGAGAAAUGAGAUGCCCCAAAAUUUCAUCCUUGAAGUUGAAGUUUUUGAUGUAUGGGGAAUUGAUUUUAUGGGCCCUUUCCCAUCUUCUUAUGGAAAUGAGUACAUCUUGGUUACGGUUGAUUAUGUCUCCAAGUGGGUGGAAGCAGUAGCCAGCAAGACAAAUGACUCUAGUGUUGUCAAGAAAAUGUUCAAGACAGUCAUUUUUCCAAGAUUCGGGAUCCCGAGAGUGGUUAUAAGUGAUGGAGGCUCUCACUUCAUCAACAAGACGUUCAAUAAACUGCUGAAGAGAGUAAAGCAUAAGGUAGCUACACUUUAUCAUCCUCAGACAAGUGGGCAGGUUGAAAUAUCGAACCGAGAAAUCAAGGGGAUUUUGGAGAAGGCUGUAGGCAAAACAAGGAAAGACUGGGCUGUGAAGCUUGAUGACGCCUUAUGGGCGUAUAGAACCGCCUACAAGACUCCCUUGGGCACCACUCCUUUUAAUCUGGUCUAUGGAAAGUCUUGUCACCUACCUGUGGAAUUGGAGUACAGUGGUUUUUGGGCAACGAAGUUGAUGAACUUCGACAUUAAAACCGCAGCAGAAAGGAGGAUGGUUCAGUUGAACGAGCUGGACGAGAUUCGGUUGAACGCCUAUGAGAACACCAAAAUCUACAAGGAAAGAACUAAGGCAUGGCAUGACAGAAAGAUAAUCCCGAGAGACUUCGCUGCUGGAGACAAAGUCCUUCUGUUCAACUCUAGACUCAAGCUAUUUCCUGGAAAGCUUAAGUCUCGUUGGUCCGGACAUUUCACCAUCACAGAGGUUAGACCUUAUGGAGCUGUCGUCUGGGAAGACAAUGGGAGGAAAUUCACCGUCAAUGGGCAGAGGCUAAAACCUUACUUCACAGAUGCAAAACCCGAAGAAGGAACCAACAUUCCUUUAUCGGAACCCGAUCUCGCCUAAGGACAACAAAAUAGUCAGGCUCGCGACUUUAAACAAGCGCUGACUGGGAGGCAACCCACAUGGUUUGAUUUUCUUUNNNNNNNNNNNNNNNNNNNNNNNNNNNNNNNNNNNNNNNNNNNNNNNNNNNNNNNNNNNNNNNNNNNNNNNNNNNNNNNNNNNNNNNNNNNNNNNNNNNNNNNNNNNNNNNNNNNNNNNNNNNNNNNNNNNNNNNNNNNNNNNNNNNNNNNNNNNNNNNNNNNNNNNNNNNNNNNNNNNNNAAAAAAACUCUCUACGUAUUUUUCUCAGACCCUGUGAUGAUUAUUAGACUAUUUCCUUGUGUGUUGUGUAUUACAUUAUAUAUUGACCAUUUUUCAGGACUGUUGGCGCAGACAAACCGAGGAACUACUUGACCAAGCAACCUCUCCUUAAAUCUUUUAUCAAGUCUCGGUGAAUUGUAAUCGACUCAAAUAUUUUUGACCAUUAAUGAAUUUAAUUUCUUUUGACCAGGAAUCAACAUCAGGAAACGGUACACCAUAUACACAUUCAGGAUUUUCUUUACCACAUUUUACCACUCUUUAAUAAUCCUGAAUGGCCAGACUCAUCAAUAGUUUGGUACCUCACCUACACCUUACCCUUUUAUUUCAUCUCCAUGCAUUCUUACACACUGAUCAUAUGUGCAUACAUGUGCAAAAACAAUGGAGAGAUUAGGGUAGACAUGGUUCAUCCGACUGCUUAGGUAGGAUCGGAACAUUUAGGUGGUUAGACACGGACCUGUGUGUCUAGAGGUGUAAAUAGAAAAAUUGGGUGUUGUAAGUGUGUGAUUGCAUCGCAGUGUAUAUAUUCGAUUUCGGUUUGUAUAAGUUUUCGUUCUGAAAUAUAAAAAAAAAAAAAAAAAAAAGUUCAUGUUUAUAUCUCAUUCAGUAGAUUUGAUUUAGACAUUUUAUUUUUAUUUUGUGUACCAGAGAUGAUGCGUUGUUUAAAUUUGGGGUUAGAGUUUGAGAUUUGUUGGGUUUUGAUCAUUUGAGACUUGAGCAGUUCGGAGCUUUUCACUCCUUUUUACCCACUCCCCUCAAUAAUAGACAGAGGAACUCGACUUUUGAGACUCAGAAAAGACCAGGGGCGACCAAGGAGGAGAUUUACAAGUUCUAGAGAGAGAUUUGAGUGUUUUGUACUUGUUUUGGUGUGAUUUGUGAAGAUUUGUAAAGGAGUUCAUCUCAAAACCAUUUGGAGAAGAUCUUCUGAACCUUUACUCUGUUUUAAUACAAUCUUAUCAUGUUUUCUUCAUCAAAAUCGUUUUGUUCUUGCUUAGUUAUGUGUGAGUAGUCAUCUAGUUGGGUUUAGGGGUUCUCAUAGGGGAUUUCUUGAUGUUUUGAUCCAUAAAACGUGUGUAGACUAAGGGAUUACGUUUUGGUUCUUCAUCUAAUGGAUUUCUUACUGCUUGAACUGAAUUGAUCACUUAGUUCAUGAUUUCAGAUUGUUUGAUGCACCGAAAGUGAUUGUUUGAACUUCCGAAAAUACUUUAGAUGAGCAAAGUGUCCUUAACCCUCGGAAGUUGAUGUUAUUGCGCUUUGUGAACAUAUUGAACCUGUUCUUAAUGCUUGUUUAGAAAUUGAAACUCAGCGGAAGUUAGUGUGGAGAUUUCUAUAACAUAGAGAAUUAGCGCUACGGAAGUAGGUUAAUUCUAAUAUCGUGUUUGAGUUCUAGACGGUUCUUAAUAUAUCCCUGUGUCUUCCAUUAAUUGUAUCUUGAUUAAAAAGAAAUCCCUGAGAAUUCCCAAUGCCCAACGUUUGUUUUAAAAUAGUUUUCAAAUCGUUUAAAUCAUCUUUUUACAUGCUUGUUUAUGUUUUGUGACACCUAAGAAAAUUAAAUAAGAACCAUCAAAAAUAUAUCUUGAUUCGCUGUAGCUAUUAACUUGUCUGCAACUCUACGUGUGAUCAUCGGUCCCUGUGGAUUCGAUCCCGCAUUACUACUGCGUACUUUAUUGUGCACUUGCAGUUAGAUAAUCGGGUUAAAACUCGACACAUCAAGGGGGACAGUGUCCUUCGUGUUCUCCAAAAACUCGGGUCUGGGAUGUCUGAAGGUUGUCGUUGUUCUGUUCAGCAACCUCUAGAGGUGACUUGACAAUGGACGCCAUAAUUUCCUGUUUGAAAGCUACAAGCAUUGCAUCGAGUGGUCCAAGCACAGUAGCUUGUUGUUGGGCCUCUGCGCUCCGGAUUAUUGAUGCAAUUGAGGCAUCUAUUUUUGAAAUCUCGGGUUUCAUGACAGCAAGAACAAUUGGCUUGAUAGUAGAUUCAUCUAUGACUCCAGCGGUGGUUUCCUUCGAAGUGGUUUGCUUCGAUGUGGGUUGCUUGCGUUUGGCCGCAACUUUCGCUGACUCCCUCAUUCUCUCAACUUCCUGUUUUGUUAGGCCCCCUUUAAACAUGUACUUUGAAAAACAAUGAUUCGCAUGAAUCAGCUUGUCGACUUUAGUAUCUUCGACAUGGUCUUUUACAACAAGAAUGGAUUCAUCAACCGGGUGAAGAGGGUCUUGGGGGAAUGAUACUCAUAUGGGCUAGCCAAUAAAACCGUGAACUUUUGUUGACUUUUUUAGUUUAUUAAGAAACUUACGAUUGACUGACCAUAUUAACACACCGUUAACCGAGUUAACAGAUAAAUAAGCGGAUGUUAAUUUUGGGUGUUAAAGCAUACGACGUCGUUUCAUAUCUUUGUCUGAUUAAAGACAAACGACGUCGUUUAUAUAGGUUUGUUAUUAAAAAUAUGUGUUUCCAACGGGUCGAACUCGUGUACUCGGGUUUAAUGGUAGGGGUUUUUGCCACUGAGCUAGUGGACUUUGCAAUAGAUUUACGAACACAGUUUCUUUUAUUCUCUUCGAAGCCGAGUUAAAAGACAAAUGAAUGAAACGACGCGUUUUAUAUAGCUUUUUUAUUAAAAAGAUGGGCUUCCAUCGGCUCGAACUCGUGCACUCGGGUUUAAUGGUAGGGGUUUUUGCCACUGAGCUAGUGGACUUUGCAAUAGAUUUACGAACACAGUUUCUUUUAUUCUCUUUGAAUCCGAGUUAAAUGAAUCAAAAAUCAUAAAUCCAGCUCGAUUCUCUUCGAUCUCGUCCUUAAGAAUCUCGAUUCUCACCUUUCCUUCUUCGAGUAUCGCAUGAUGAGUUCGGAUCCUUCAACGCUUUUACGGAUCCUCGAUCUCUCCGGCGAUGACAAACUCACAGAAGCAUCGCGUUCUCCACCCUUCUUCGACUCUUGAAUAGCUUCGUCACUCCCGUAAUCGAAAUUCCUCAUCGCUCCGAAAAUCAUUACCUCCCUUCCAUUCCUUGUGAACUUCGUCUUUACCAUCUCCUCACAUCACAAGAUAAAUCCCCAAAUUGAUUUGAGAAAUUAGGGUUACGUUCAAACACGGGUUUCGUUUUCUUUGAUUUCAAUCAAACACAUCUUUUGAUCAAUAAAAAUAAACAUGUGUGGUAAUCUUCCGAAAAGUCCACUAGCUCAGUGGCAAAACCCCCUAAGGACCACGACUGCACGGGUUCGACUCCAGCCAACAACAAUUUUAAUUAAGCAAAACGACGUCGUCUUGACAUUUUGUCUUUAACAAAACAAUUGGAUGAAACGACGUCGUUUCACUAAACGACAGUAAUUAACAGUGAGUUAACACUGUCUUAACUGUCGGUUAACGGUGUGUUAAUCUGGUAAGUCAACCGUAAGUUUGUGAAUUAACAAAAAAUGUCAACAAAAGAUCUGAAUUUUAUUGGUCAGGCUCGAGUACAUGUUUCUUUUGGCAAUUUCUGCAAAGUUCAGUGUUUUUUGGCCGAUUUCUCAAAGUAAAAUCCCUUUAGUUUCUCACACUACACGCAUGAUCUCCCAAACCAUUAUUUUUUUCUCGACACGAAUUAACUCUCGAUCAGAAACUGUAAAAUUUUAAAUUAUUUGCAACAACUCCAUUAAAUUGUUUUUUUUUUUGAAUGAAAGUAAAAUUAUAAUCAAACAAAAACUGUGUUACAUCUUGUGCUUCUGUUUUACUUAUGAACUCAUAAGGCAAUAAAAAUAAAAGAUUCUAACCACCUAUUACGAUGGUGUUAGAUCUUCUCUCGUGCCAAACCAAGUACGCAGACUUCUCUCCAAAUAGGCUUGGCCUCUUGCUUUGACUGCAAGCAGAUGCAAUCUGAUCGUUUUAUCAACGAGUUUGCUCAGAGUAAUGGCAUCCUUUGGUUCUUCACCAUGUCUCCUCGAGUUUCUUUCCCUCCAGAUACUGUGAACUGCUGCCUGCAGGGAGUAUCUGAUAAGGAACAAUUCUGUGGCAGGAAAGGUCGAGCCAGAUAUUAUAGUGAUAAUGGUAUUCCAGUCUGUGGUAAAGCCAUCUUUGAGAAGCCCUUGUACCAAUGAUUUCCAAACCUUAGAUGAGUAGGUACAUUGGAAAAAGAGAUGAUGGCAAGUCUCUUGCACUUCAUGACAUAGAGUACACUCUGCGUUUAUGGUAGCAUUCCAAGCUUGCAUUUUAUCUCCUGUUUGCAACCUGUUCUUUAUUGCAAUCCAGAUCAUAAAUGAGUAUUUCGGGGUGGACUCGGGGAACCAUAUGCCUCUGCUCCAAGGACAGAUAGAUUGCCUCGUCCUCAGCUGAUGCCAUGUCUUUUUAGUGGAGAAUCGGUUUCCAAAUUUUCCUUCUUCGCUUCUCCAUAACGGGACAUCAUCCAUGUCCCUUAACCCUCCAAUGCGCAAUUUAUUUAUGUCUUCCUCUAUAUCAUUUAGAAUGCGCUCUCUAUGUCUUCGCCUCCUGUUAUUUGAGAGGACAUCUGCCAUCGUAGCAUUUUCCACAAUACCAAGCGCUAUUUUACCUCUAUCACCUACGGCUUCCUUUAGGCAACCAAUCUGCGACCAGACAUUAUACCAAAAGGAUGUAUGGUUCCCAUUUCUGACAUCUAUACGCAGAAAUUGCCUUGCUAUGUCUCUCAUUCGUAGAAUCUUCUUCCAUAUCCAAGACCCCAAAUUUGUCUUAACUGAGAUCGACCAGAAAGACCCUUUCCUUAUCAAAUAACAAUGUAUCCACUUGACCCACAAGGAGGAUCUAGCAGAUGAUAUUCUCCAGAUUAGCUUCAGGCAGUGAACUUUGUUUAUCUCCUUUAAAGACCUGAUUCCCAAGCCUCCUUCAUUCUUUGGUAAGCAAAUGUCUUGCCAGCUCACUUUUGCUUUUGUAGGUUUUAAAACAGGGCCUGACCAGAGAAAGGCUGCGCAUAGACUUUCUAUUUCCUUCAAACAACUACCUGGGAGUCGAAAAGCCGCUAGCCAGAAGUUUGCUAGACUCAUGAUUACCGAGUUGAUCAGCUGUAGCCGCCCUGCAUGGGAAAGGAAACGACCAGUCCACGAGCUCAUGCGCUUUCUUAUCUUUUCCACCAAUGGCAUGUAGUCACUUACUGUCAUUCUCUUUGUGAGGAGGGGAAGACCUAAGUAGCGGACUGGUAGCUGUCCUGAGGCGAAGGGGAAGCUUUCGAGGGUCUCUGCUUCUUGUUCCACUGUUGGACCUGCCAUGUAGAGAACUGUUUUCUCCAAGUUGAUUUUCAGACCCGAUAUCACUUCAAAGUCUGCAAAGAUCCUAAGAAUACCUGCAAUAGACCUUCGUGUGCCAUCAGUGAAGACAAGCAGAUCAUCAGCAAAGCAUAAAUGUGUCAAGAGGAUGUUCCGACAUCUCGGAUGGUACCCUAUUUCUUUUCUUUCUACUGCCUUGUCAAGCAUAUUUGAUAAUACAUUCAUGCAUAUGACAAAGAGGUAUGGCGAUAGUGCACAACCCUGCCUCAGCCCCCUCUUGCUUUGAAAGAAACCCGCUAGUUCCCCAUUUACUUGUACUGAAAACGAAGGCGUGCACACACAUAGCUCAAUCCAAUGGAUAAAUUGCUCCGGCAUGUUCAAGGCUCGAAGGGUAUUCAAGAGAAAUGGCCACUGAACAGAAUCGAAAGCUUUUGCUAUAUCAAUCUUCAUGGCACAUCUUAAUGAGAUGUCCUCCUUGUGGUAGUCUUUUACAAUUUCAGUGGCGAGAAGUAGAUUUUCCACAAGCAAUCUGUCCUUCACAAAUGCGGACUGAUUGUAAGAUACACAGCGAGGGAGGGUGCCUUUCAGCCUGUUUGCGAUGAUCUUUGAGAUGACCUUAUACAAGACAUUACAGCAGGCUAUGGGUCUGUAGUCUUUCAUCUCCAUCGCCUCAUCUUUCUUUGGUAUCAACGCAAGGAUUGUGGUGUUGAGGCCCUUUGGAAGAAACCCCUUGCUGAAAAAAGAAUGCACCGCUGUGGUAAAAUCCUUUGAGAUGAUACUCCAUGAAACCUUGAAGAAUUCAACAGUAAACCCAUCAGGUCCCGGAGAUUUUCCACUAGGCAUUCGAAAUAGGACUUGUUUGAUUUCUGCAUCCGUUACCGGUUUAAUGAGAGUAUUAUGUUCUUCGUCGGAGCAGCGGAAGUUGAUGAUUUGCUGCAUCUCCUCUACUGUUUUCUGUUUCAACCCAUCCGGUAUAUGAGAUAGGGAUUUAGAGAAAAACCUCUCAGCCUCAUUUUUUAUUUCUUCUUGAGAUCGUACCACCUGCCCCGAUGCACAUCUAAUUUCUCUGAUUGCAUUCCUUGUCUCCCGAAUCUUAACGGCGUUGUGGAAGGCUUUAUUGUUUUUGUCUCCUACUUGCAACCAGUGUAACUUCGAUCUUUGCUUUAGAAUUUUUUCCUCAAUUCCAGAAACCUUCUGCCACCUCUCAGCUGCUAAUAGUUCUGCUUGUAUAUGAUCGUGGGAGGGAUCACUUAAGGUAGCUUCUUGCUUCUCACAUAAAUCUUGAUAUGCUUCCCUGACCUUCUUGGUCAAGUCACCCAGCUUCUCCUUGCUCAAACUUCUUAUCAGUGGUUUCAGGCCUUUGAGAACCUUUGAAAACCGAAACAGAGCUGAUGUGGACUGAAACAAUGGUAUCUUAUCUCUCCAAUAUUCUUCUAGCCUUCUAAGAAACUCUGGCAUUUCUGCCACUGCAUUCGUAAACUUAAAUGGUCUGCGUUUCCCAACAGCUUCAGGCUUCAAGUGGAACCUUCCUCUCAGGUGGUCUGAGCAACCUCCAGAUUCAAAGACAUUAUAGGCUUGAGUUCUCCUGUGAAGCCACACUUCAUUAACUAGGAUUCGAUCCAGUUUCUUACAUAUGAUCCCUUCAUCCCUCCUAUUGCACCAAGUGAACUUAGGGCCUUGAUACCCCAUAUCAGUGAAAUGACAAUACUGAACCACACUUUCAAACUCUCUCAUUCCUGUGGUUGUGAUCCCAGAGUCCUGAUAAUUUGAGUGCUCUCCUCCCCCCAGUAUUUCAUUAAAAUCUCCCAUGACUAUCCACUCCUUAUUUCUGAAUAAGGGUGAGCUUUGAUGUGACUUUAUAUCGUCCCAUAGCUCUCUUCUCUGCUCUACUGUGUUCUCCGCAUAGACGAAAGAACAAAAGAACUCUUCCUCCUCACCCUCCAGCAGAACUGAGACCGUGAUCAUUUGUUCUGACUUGAAAACAGGUGUGAGCCUGACGCGAGGGCUCCAAAGAACCCAUAUCCUUCCCUUCCUACUAAACUCGUAAUUGCUUAUACAAGACCAUCCUCUGCAGACUGAAUCAACAAUUGCAGCUGAUUUCCUUUCCUUCACUCUUGUUUCCAGCAAGCACCCAAACUGAAAAUCUUUACUUCUUAUCCAAUUAUGGACCACUGUGUGUUUUGAUGGCUUGUUGAAGCCUCUUACAUUCCAAAAAAACCCAGUCAUUGGGAAGAUUUGUUGGAGCUUCUUCUUCCUGAAUUACCAGGCAUGUUGAUCGCAAGGAUGACCUUAUGAUUCGUCUUGGAGUUUCGUGGGAUAUAGGGUCUUUUGUAAGUACUCUCUCCCUUUUCCGACUUUUCCUCAUCCCCUUUUGUCCCUUUCGUUUCAAACUUUUGUUUUCCUCCUUGUACUGUCUGUCCCCCUGCUACUUCAACUUGAGCUGGGUCUGAUGUCACAUCUUCCUCCAAAAGCUCUCCUCCUUCACGUUCUUCUGCCAUGUCCUUCCUUUCAUUUUUCUCACUCACCCCGAUUUCCUUCUGCUUUACAUUCCCCUCCAAUAUCACAGUUUCCUCCGGUAUUUUUGUAGUUUCAGAUUUCUCAUCCUGCUUCAAACUCUCAGAUUCCUCCAUAUUAUCUUUAACACUUUGCUUCUCUGGUUCUUCCACCUUCUCAGUUUCCUCUAGAUCAUUUAGCACUUCAGAUUUCUCAUCCUGCUUCAAACUCUCGGAUUCCUCCAUAUUAUCUUUAACACUUUGCUUCUCUGGUUCUUCCACCUUCUCAGUUUCCUCUAGAUCAUUUAACACUUCAAAUCUGGAAGCUAAUUUGACAUGACCGUACUUCAGCUCUUGCCUUUUGCUACUACUUUUACCAUUUGAGACAUUAUACCACUCUUCUACCACCUGUCCCUCUUCAAUUUCAUCAUCCUGCUCAAUGUUUUGCAAUUCUAAUUUAUCAUUCUCUACUACGAACACAUCGACCUCAUUGCCUCCACUCUCUCCUUGCUUUUUACUUGAUGUCUCCGUAGCUACUUUGGCUAGUUCCUUUGCCAUAUCCUGAACUGACAAUUCGUUACUCUCCUUUUUGCUCCUGACACAUGAUUUCUCGGCAUGUCCCCAUUUUGCACACGUGAGACACCGUAGAGGAAGCCAUGGAUAGAUGAACUCAACAUUGAAAGCCUUGCCAUUUUUUGUGAAUGUCAUCUGCUGCGGUAGCUCCUUUGUUAAGUCGGCAUUAAUAAACACCUUUGCUAGCUUGAAGUUUGUGCAAGACGCCGUCUCAGGGUGUAGUCUCACAGGGUAGCCAGCUGCACUUGUGAUAAAACUAAGCCCCUGCCAAGAGAACAUAUGCAUUGGAACAUUUUUGAGGUGGACCCAUAGUGGUAUAGACUUCACUUCUGGCUUCUCCUUUAGUUCAUCUGGAGUCCAUUUGGUAACUACCAAAGGUAUGUUCCCAAUGUUCCACAUGCCUCUUCGGAGAACCCUUGCUCUCACAUUAGCGUUUGUAAUGCGAAACUUCAUUGUAGUACCAUCAACCUCUUGUACAUCAAUCACUUGCUUCUUGUCCCCGUACGACCAAAUCUUGUUUACCACCGCAUGAAUACGAGCAAUAUGGGGAGCUGUGUCCAGGAAUUUUCCAAUCAAGUAAUCUUUCCAUAGUGGAUUUGCGUUGUUGAUAACCUCAUCUGGUAUCUCCACCGUUUGCUGUCCCUCAGACUCAGUGAUAGCUAGAUCGUAUUUUCUCAAGAUCUUCUUCUCUUGAGCCGCUGUAACCCAUGACAUCCCUUUUGAUGUCGUCGACCCCGAUUGACUCUUCGCAGCCAUACCCGGACCCUCUUUCUGUGUUUGUAACACCUGAACCGCCUCCUGACCCUCACCGCAGCAUCCCCCCUCGACGUUUGUUUAUUUUCCAGCCAUCGACCCAGCUCCCGAUCCGGGUCCCAGAUCCUCCUUUUGCACUUCUGCCACUCGCCCUACCCCCUGAGCACCUUCAACACUCGCCAGCACCCUUGAGCCGUCCGGCGGCUUCGUCAUGACGUAACCGCAGGUCGGAGUCCUUCGAAAUCGCCUAUCUCGCGAUCGCGUUGGAUGGAACCGACCGAAGAUCUGGAGUGUGGAGGAGGAAGUUGCCGGACGAUCUUGAAAAAAUCGCAGUUUGUUUCGCAAUCACUGUUCACUCAAUCGUUACUGUUCACUCAAUCCAACUCCUUUUGUCUAUAUUCACCAUUUUCAACUCCAUUAAAUUGGGGUUGAGUGUUUGCACUUACUUUCUUGUGUGUUUAUGGAAACGUUAAAAAGGUGUUGGGGACUUUCAUCACGGAAUGGGAUGAAGGUAAAGCUACCUGCAAAGGAGAUGCUUGCCACUAAGGAGUCUGCUCUGAUGUAUGCUGAGCGUUUGGUUGAGCUUGCUACUUCUCUAGGUUUUGAUGGUUGGCUGAUGAGUUUUGUAACAUAUCUGCAUCCAAAACAUACUACUAGUUAAGUGGAGAGAAGGUCAUUUCGUUUAUGUAAGCUGUUACAUGCAGAUUAAUAUAGAGAACGAAAUAGAUGAAGAACAGAUUCCUAAUUUGAAGGAAUUCGUAAGCCAUCUAACAAAAGUCUUGCAUUCAUCUACUCUUGGGGCUUUGGUUAUAUGGUGAGUUGUUAACAAGUUCUUUCUUUUGGUAUAACCACUUUGAUCUGAUCACCCUUUUUAAUUGCAGGUACGACAGUGUCACUGUUUCUGGCGAUCUCAAAUGGCAAGAUCAUUUGAAUGAGAAGAAUAAACCUUUCUUUGACUUGUGUGAUGGAAUCUUCAUGAACUAUACAUGGAAGGUACCGUUUUGGUUUUCGGUUUGUGUUUCUUCUAUUUGCCUUUGCAUGUUAUUUGAGUAAGUGAUGAUAUUUCAGGAGAGCUACCCCAACCUAUCAGCUGAAGUUGCUGGGGACAGAAAAUACGAUGUCUACAUGGGGAUUGAUGUCUUCGGUCGCGGAUCCUUUGGUGGUGGGCAAUGGACUGUAUGUUUUCAGAAACUCUUGCGAACACCAAUUAUUUUGUCAUUGUUUUUCUUCACUGUCUCAUCAAUAUCUAUAUAUAUGCUAGGUUGAUACUUCUCUUGAUUUGCUGAAGAGAAACAAUGUAUCAGCUGCCAUUUUCGCUCCCGGAUGGGUAUAUGAGACUGCACAACCUCCUAAUUUUCAUACAGCUCAGAAUAAGUACUACUCUUCUUUUGCCUGUUUGUUUGUAAAAUAAAUUGCCAUUUAUUUGUCAUCUUAUUAUCGUUCAUUCGUUCUCUUCAGAUGGUGGUCACUUGUUGAGAAGUCAUGGGGAAUAGUCCAAACAUAUCCACAAAUCUUGCCUUUUUACUCGGAUUUCAAUCAGGUAAACUGAGAUUGAUCUAGUCUUUCUUCCUAUCAGUUAUCUGAUGCUCCAUGGUACAACAUAUCUUGCCAAAGUCUCCAGGUUCAACCAUCUUAUAGUCAUUCAUUGUACAUAUAAUAUUAUCUUCUCAUCUGAUUGUUGUGUUAUUCACGUCAGCCACUCCUAGAGUUCAAGGAAGACAAGUUCUAAACUUGGACUCCUGCUUCGUUUCUCAUCCCCAUCACACGAAACUAAAUCAAUACUUGUGGCCCCACAAGAACCAAUCCCCAUAUUAGUAGAUCACAUGUUCUUGAAGUGCCUUGUCAUGGAUGGACACACACUGAUUGAAAUCUUUGCCUUUUGCUACGGACCAUAGAACUCGACAAAGACAUCAGAGUACGUUGCAUUGCUCGGUCACAUCUCAAUCAAAGAUCAUGUUCAGCUCCUCCAGCAAAACUUCGUUUCCUUACAUCAUGGGUCAUCGAGGCUCAUAACAUACAGCUUGUACCGUGUAAUUCCGGUUCUAAGAUCCUCAGGGUUAAGCUAGAAUGGAGACAGAAACAGCGUGAAGACUCUGUUCUCCCAGUGUACAAUGUGUAUGCAGAGAGUGUGAAGUCAACUGAUGUACUAAGAUCGAGGAAGGUUUUGGAGAAACCAAGAAGCGAGAGAGUGUUCCUCGGAAUCUCUCACGUACCAGCCUACUACGUUUCGGAACUGGUGCUAGAUUCGGACGUGAAAGGAGUCAGCUUCGUGGUUCAAUCCUGUGGUGAAGAUGGUUCAUGGAUGAAGGUAGAUGAUUCCCCUAACCUUCUUGUGGACUUGGAAGGUCUCUCGUAGGUUGCUUGAAACUAUGUAUGAAACGAUUAAUAAUGUAUAUUACAAAAUUACAUUAAUCUAGAAAGUGGGGAAAAACAUAAUAAAAAAAUCUGAACCAAGUCUCUUCCGUAUGGAAGUUUUGGUUUCUCAUCACUAGUAGUCUCUUUUCUGUAUAUUUUAUCGAAUGAAAGUGAGAUGAUUAUCACCAAAACUUGUUAUUUAUGGACGUGAGAAAGAACAAAUGCGGAAACUGAUUGGUUCAUCAACAUUUUUUUUUUUUGUUUACUACUGCCAUAUAUUGAAGAAACAAAAUAGCGAUGGAGUAAAAUCUUGGCUUCUUCCCGACGAUCUCGCCCUGAGAAAUAUUAUUUGAAGAAUAUACUCACUAUUAUAUGGCUCGAUCGUGAGUACAUUUAAUUCACGACGAAGAGUUGAUUCUUCUGUCACGAAGAAUGUUCUCAUUAUUAUAUGACUUCGAGCAGAUUGAUAUUUUUGUUCAUUUUGAUUGAUUCUUUUAUUCUUUUUGUCAUUUUGCAUAUAUUUCUCAUUUUGGAAGUCAUGAGGAAUAAACCAAAAAUAAAAAUAAGACCAUUCGCCGUUGAGUUUUCUUGAAAAGGUUGAUGUUUGUUUUCUUCUUACUAAAUGUAAGAGAUUCAUUCUUAUUUUGAAAUUCUAUCAAAAUUAAACUAGUUUAGCAGUUAAAUUAGUUCUUUUUUCAAAGCAAGGAAUGUCAUAAAAUCUUGAACUUUUAAAUAAUAAGUAAAAAAGAUAAAACAUUUAAUAUCAAAUCGAAAGACUACAAUAUAUGCAAAUAUGCAUGGGUCUCGUAGUCGUAAACGUUAGUACUUUUGGGUCAAUAUGCAUGGGUCGUUAGUAUACGUUAGAUUAAAUCCAAAUGUAAACCUAAGCAAAAUAAAACUUCAUAAAUUACGUUUUCUUUGGUUUAGACAAUUCUUUUUUUUUUUUUGAAAAUUCAUGUAAUUAGUGUAGGGGACCAAUAUGUGUAGAAAAUUGACUAUCCGACACAAAGAUUUUGCUUUCGACGUGACGAAUAAUGUAUUUUUCUCUAUGGAUUUUUUUUUGUGGGGAGUAAAUACAGAGUCUAUUAUUGUGUAUAUAAAGAAAUGACCAUGGAAGCAUAUUACUCAUCACCAAUUUCCCUUUUCUUUUUGCUCUUUCAGUUUUUGAUAUUCAAGAAAGUUAAAUAAGCUUAAAGAAGAAUGAAAGGCUAUUGGAACUUAACGAGUACCAUUUCUCUUACUCUUUCUAUACUUUUUUUAUUCGGCUACAGUUAUGAGGACGUGUCUGCGGUUCCAACUACGCACUUGUGUCGUCCAGAUCAAAGGGAUGCACUUCUUCAGUUCAAGAACGAGUUUGAGGUUCUAAACUCUUCCUUUGCUUAU
rnacentral:lncRNA from 1 species